rnacentral:lncRNA from 1 species
UUUUAAUGAGUCUCAUACACAUAUAGAUAUAGCUAAAACUUGGAUGAAUGUUCUUCAGUUGAAGAGUCAAGUUCGAGCUUACUUUGCUGAGGCGAAAUGGUCCCAUGAAGGAUACAUACCUACAAUAGAAGAGUAUAUGCUUGUUGCACUCGUGACCGCAGGUUCCUGCAUACUUGCAACCUGGUCUUUCAUUGGAAUGGGAGAGAUCAUGACAAAGGAGGCCUUUGAUUGGGUGAUCAGUGAUCCUAAGAUUAUCACAGCUUCAACUGUAAUUUUCAGACUCAUGGAUGACAUCACAACACAUAAGGUAUGGUGAAUGUACAUGAAUUGCUUCCAAAGACAGGAAAUGAGUUAGUAGGGCUGUUGGAUCAAGUUGUCAGCUUGAUAUGUUAACUUAGUGAACUUCAACCCAAUCACCUAAUAACAAAAUUUUUAGGUCAAAUUUUUAUCUUUAGAGUGAGAAAAUAAUAUACUCAUGAUUUUCCUAAACUUUUUUGUUAAUAUUAUGCAUGCAGUUUGAGCAAAAAAGAGGGCAUGUGGCCUCAGGCAUUGAAUGUUACAUGAAGCAAUAUGGUGUCUCUGAGGAACAAGUGUACAGUGAGUUCCACAAGCAAGUUGAGAAUGCAUGGCUGGAUAUUAACCAGGAAUGCCUCAAACCUACUGCCGUUCCAAUGCCUCUCCUCACUCGUGUUGUCAAUCUUUCACGAGUCAUGGAUGUCAUUUACAAGGAGGGAGACGGGUACACACAUGUUGGGAAAGUGAUGAAGGAUAAUAUUGGAUCUGUGCUCAUUGACCCCAUAGUAUGACCAAAUGGAGUUAUUUAUUAUAAAUCAUUAUAAUAAGGUGUGUUAGAGAAAUCCGUAGAAUAAAAGAACUUUCUGAAGAAUGGUUUGUUACUGCAACUCUACCAGGAUUAUUACAAAUGGUCUCUUAAAUACAGUUUUAGUGGUCAAGAUCUAGUACUGAGUUUUUUCUUGUUCUGUUUUCAACAACUUAAUAACAACCUGUAACAGCAAGCUAGUACUGAGAUCCUCAACUCUGAGUUUGUGUCUUAAGGCUGGAAAAUUGGAAGUAGAGAUGGCCUUUAUGAGAACAUCAGCUAUUUGAUCUUGAGAUUGCACAUGAUGAACUUCUAGCUCCUUUUGCAUCACUUUCUCUCUAGCAAAGUAGAGAUCCAAUUCAAUAUGCUUUAUUCUGGCAUGUAGUACUCGAGUGUAAGCUAACAUGAUAGUACUCAGGUUGUCAUUAGGAACCUGUAAUUCAAACAACAAUGAUUGUAACCAAGAUAAUUUUGUUGUUAAGUUGGCCAAACUGCUACACCCAUCUUGGCUUUGGACAAAAGAUCUGCUAUAUACUUAGUUUGGGAAAGAUGCAAAGCUUCUGAAGUUUGCUUGACUUGUAUUCCCAAAACAUAAUCAACUAAGCCAAGAUCUUUUAGAGUAAAAUGAUCAUGGAGCUUAUCAUUCAACUUUUGUACUUUUAUGUCAUUGCUUCCUGUUACAGACUAAGAUAAAAGUGCAUGGAAUGUUGUGGAGUGAUGCUUACAAAGAGAGACUGAUCUGAAUUUGCUGACUUGAAUCCAAGCAUGAGUAGAGCUUUAUACAAUUUUUCAAAUCAAGCUCUUGGAGCUUGUUUAAGACCAUAAAGGGAUUUGCACAAACAACAAACCAUUAUAAUUUGAUAGGGAUCUUGAGAACCAUAUGGCUACAGCAUAUAUACUUCUUCUUGCAAAUCUCCGUUGAAAAAUGCAUUAUUAACAUCUAAUUGUUUAACCACCCAAUUUCUUGCUACUGCAAUUAAUAGAAUUACUCUUAUAGUAGUUGGUUUCACCAUAGGACUAAACAUUUCAUUAAAGUCAAAGCUUGCAACUUGAUAAAAGCCAAUUUUCGUUUUGUAUUGCUUCAUCAACAAAUUCAAGUUGUACAGCAGAAUAUAGACUUUAGGCUUGUAAAUGACAACCUUGGAUCUUGUAAUCAUGUUGUGUGAAUUGGUGAUAUGCAACCUGUCCUUGUUAGGUAAGACCGAAUCAAACAAGUCAGUAGCAUCAACACAAAUGGCUGAAUUAGGAAUACCAGUACAUAUAGUAGAGUCUGGAGAUUCAACUCGAUGACCAAGAGUUUCUUGAAAUUGGUUGAAAACUAGAAGAUGAAGAAGUAGAGUUGGAUGGUUUUAUAGAAGUCAAAAUUAGAAGUUUGGCUAGUGUGCAAUGUGAGUGAAAGUAGAGGCAGCACAGGGUUCUAUUAUAAACAACAUUUUCUCGACUUUCAUAUUAAUUUUUUUUUAAAUAUCGUAAACUCUUUGAACAAUAUUAAACAAUGAAAUAUAGAAACUCUAAUGAAACUGUGGACCCCGCAUUUCGUACGAUGCAUUCCCACUCGAUGUCGAGCUCAAUUUUUUUAUUUGAAAAUGAUUUUAUUUACUAAAAUAAUGACUUGGAGUCGCCACUUAUUUUUGUUUUAUUUUUAAAAGGGCAAACAAAAUAAGAAAGAAAACCUUAAGUGUGACUCCUUAUUUUGGAAAAUGUGAUCUGUGAAAAAUCGGAUCAGGCUCGAGGGUCAAGUUACUUAUCGGGAAGGUACGAUAAAGGCCGUAGCACCCCUCUAAGUCCCUAAAGUCGGGUCUCUACUAAUAAAAUGAAGUUGGCGUGACAAUCAAUAGGAAAAUCAAUGGAUACUCAGGGUGAUCAUGCACAUGGGAGAAUCAAAACACUCAAUAAAGGACGACCGAAGUGAGAACGGGGCAUACCUUGGCAUCAAUCGAUCAAUGCGCUAUCAAGAAAGAGGGUUAGUAUACAAUUAAAAGAAUAAUCUCAUGCAUGUCAUAGAGCAAAAUGAAUCAAUCAUGUGUGAUAAUCAAAUCAAUCAAUCAUAAAAUCACUUAUGUAGGGCCCCCACCAAAGCCCGUUUAUUUUGCAUGAAUUAAUGUCAUAGAUUCCAUUAUUCUGGAAUUAUGAAAAAUUCAUUCAUGCUUAUUAAAAUCAAGAGGAGCAGAAGAUUGUUUGAAAACCAAAGUGGAAUUAAAACUAUUUGAGAGAAAAUUGGAUUUUUGAAAUUUAUUCGAAAAAUUUGAGUCUCGAAGAUUACUUGAAAAUUGGAGUUUUAGAGUUUAUUUGAAGAUCGGACUUUUGGAAAUUAAAUGUGAGAAUGAGAAUUUUAGAAAUUACAUUUUGAAAGAGAUUGGAAUUUUGAAAAUGAUUUGAGAGUUCGGGAUUUAAAAAAAAAAAAAUUAAAUUACGAAAAUUGGGACCUUGGAAAUUAAAUUUUGAAAGAAAUCAUAAUUGAAAGUUAUUUGAGAAGCGGAAAUUAUGGAAAUUUAAUUAUAAAAAUUGGAAAUCUUGGAAAUCGCUCGAAGGCAAAAUUUUUAGAAAUGAAUGAAAAUAAUAAUAAUAAUAAUAAUAAUAAUAAUAAUAAUAAUAAUAAUAAUAAUAAGUAACGAAAUAAAUGCGAGAAUUGGAACGUUGGAAACUGGAAAUUAAGUUUAGAGAUGGGAAAAUUGGAAUUUCAGAUAACUAAAUUUAGAAAUCGGAUUAUCUAACCCCGCAUGUCUUAUGGAAGCGCAUUAUAAGUUAUCUAUGCUAUCCAGGUAUGCCCCCAUAACUCCCACCUUCUAAAUUUAGUGAAUAUGUUUAUCAUUGUGAACUAUGCUUAUGAUCGAUAGUGCUUGGGUGUAUUGGUAUUUGUUUCAUUGUUCAAUUAUUUAUGAUAAAGUGCAUGUUGGAUGAUAUAUUAUUUGAACUAACUUUGGUAUCUUGUGAUAGCGCAUAAGAAGCAGUCUAGGUACGCAGUCUAAAUUUCCUUUCUGAUUUGUAAUUGGUUUUCUUGUUUAGCAUGUUAUUUUUUGGAAAUCACCUUAGUCUACCUAGAUACCCUCAAUCAACUUAUUAAUUGUGACAUUCCCCUCAACUUAGUUAGUAGAGACCUUUAUAGGGCUUAGAGGGAUGCUACCUCCUAGACGUACCUUCCCAAUAGGUAACCUGAUCCCCGAACCUAUACUCUGGUUUUUUAAAAGACACGUUUUUCCAAAAAACUAGGGUGUAAUUUUUUUAAGGUUUAAUUUCUUGUUUUAUUUUCCCUUUAAAAUAAAAUAAAAUAAGUAGGGACUCCGACUUUUUCCAAAAAAAAAAAAAAUUCACCAAAUUAAAAGCGAAUCUCACUGAUUGAGUGAGGACACACGUGAAAAAUGCGGGUGCACAAAUUGGCGACUCCACUGGGGAUUUUGAGGAUCAAGCUUGAACACUAGUUGAGGAAAAUGUGGCUUUUAAUUGGUUGACUGGAGGGUACCUCAAUUUUUGUUAGGCAAGGUGAUUUGGCUUGCUUGCUUGAUUUGUUUGCUAUUUUAACAUGUUUGAUAUCCUUGCAUGAUCACUUGAUUGCUUGCUCACUUUAGCAUGAUUCACUCUCACAUAUGCUAAAUAGGACUUUGUUUGUAUGAUACUUGUCUGCUUGGUAUGACUGCUAGUUGCAUGACAACCCUUUCUCUUGCAUGAUUGUAUGAUUGCUUGUCUUUGUUCACUAUCUCACUUUAGAUCUUAGGUUUUUUCAAAUGCACCCACAUCCUUCACUGUACACUUUAGAUUAUCCCUGAGUGUUGAGAGAUGAGAGAGUCUUUGCCAUUAAGAAACCCCCUAGAAACCCGAGGAAGUGCAUGUGUGGAGGUGAUGACCACCUUGCAUGGAAGCACCUCAUCUCCUUGGAGGCAUGCAGAGGGUUACGUACCACCGGAGGGUAUGAUCGCUUCUGCUAGGGAUCCUUUAACCCACUCAUUUUAUUUUUUAGAGCCACCUCAACCUUAUAGGUUAGCCUAGACCCAAUUAGGAUUUCAUUCCUACACGUGGGUGCAUCUGUGAACCUUCAGAGCUGUCUAAGUUACAGUUGGGUUUGAUUACCCUCUCCAUAGUCUCAUUUUGGUAUGAUCAGAUACGAGUAUCAGUUUGGGUAUACAUGGGUUGUAUGCUUGAUUACCUUUUAGUUGGUUCCCAUAGAGCUACUCCUGUAUAGUGUCUCACCCAGUGUUUCCAUGUUCAUAGGAGUAUUUUCGUACCUAAUCUGGAUUCGCCUUCGUAGACUAGAGUUAGAGGCAAGUUGACCAGAGCAUCAGAUCAGCGAAACCAAAGAGUAGAUUAGAGAAAUAUAGACUCACAGGUAGUCACUGUUGACCAGUUUGUCGCAGCCAUGACUUUUGAUUCAAGAGGCCAUAACCGGUAUAGGCCAAAGGAUGGAUGGAUAGCAGAACCAGCAGAUCCCGCCUCAGGAUAACGUGCAGUAUAACCCUGUAGUAUCACCACCACCUCCACUUAGUCAAUUGGUUCCACAUUCUGCACCGUAUGUUUUGCAUAGCCAGACUGAUGUUACUCCACCUCCUACUGUAGCACCCAUUCCGGCCUCAGAGGAUACACAUGCUCGUAUGGAUAAACUCGAGCAGAGGAUGAAACAGAUGAGGGUUUCGGAUGGAGCUAUCGGUUGGGAUGAUUUUGAUGGAGCACUGGUAGCCAGUUUACCGACCUAGUUCAGGAUGCUAGAGAUUGAGAAGUAUACGAGCAUAGGUUGCCCCAAGAUUCAUUUAAGGUUAUAUAGUAGUGUGAUGAGAGCCCAUGGGUUGGAUGAGGCCCACUUGAUUAUGCUUUUCCCCAUGUCCUUGAGUGGUGCAGCAUGACGUUGGUUUGCUUCCUUUGAUGCUUCACGCCGUAGAACUUGGGAUGAUUUAGCCCAAGAGUUUUUGAGACAGUUUGCAUUUAAUACUAUCAUUGACAUCUCGAGGAGAGAGCUAAAGGCCUUGAGAUAGGGACCAGAGAAGUCAGUGACUUCGUUUAUCUCCCAAUGGAGGGAGAAGAUCGCCUAGAUUGUUGAUCGUCCUUCAGAGAAUGAUCAGAUUGGUAUGAUUUUGAGGAGCUUACAACCCAGAUUUUCCAAACAUUUGAUGGGAUUUCCUUAUAAUGAUUUUGGAUCCUUGGUACAGGCUCUAUAUGGUAUAGAAGAGGGCAUUGCUAGAGAAUUGUGGCCCAAGUCUUCUCCUUCUGAUUAAAAGGGAAAGAAACCCUCAAGAAGACAAAGACUAGGAGAUGUGGGUACUAUCAGUUCAAUAGGAUCGAGAUCUCCCUGGUGCUAUCAGACAUUUAGGCAGACUUUAGGAGCCUAUUACCCACAGCGUUAUGUUCAAUAUAGACCACCUAGGCCCAUGACUCCUACAUACCUACACCCGACCCUAGAGUCUGUUUUUGUUGCAUAGGUCUCAAAGAGGCCUCCUACCUUAUUCCCUCAGCCCCGAACCCCACAGACUACUAUUCCUCUCGUACAGAGGUCGACACAACAGUUUUCCUAACUAGGCAUGCCUUUGAGUCAAGCUUUCCAGAAGCUCAUGGAGGGUGGUUUGUUGACUCAGUUGGCUCCUAGGCCUAUACCCUAACCCGUGCCACCGUGCUUUAAGAUGGAUCUGCAUUGUUCCUACCAUCAGGGUCUAGGGCAUGACACAAAUCAUUGCGCCGCCUUGAGACAUGCUAUACAGGACUUGAUAUAUCAGGGUUUGGUUAACUUAGGGCAGCCAAGUGUAACCACAAACCCUCUACUGGCUCACUCUACACAUGCAGUGUAACCACCCCCGAGCGGUAUCCAUCACAUAGAUUUUGUAGAGAAUGACAAUAUACACAUGAUGAGUUGGGAUGAUGGAUUACUAGAGUCGAUUGCUUAGGAUGAUGGUUAUGAGGUUGGCACAAUGGGUUCUCAGACUUCUACUCCGUUUAGUUUGAUUUCAAAUUGGGUACCAUUUGAGUUGACCCCUAUUGCACCUUUGGCUAUGACACGUCAGGGCCCAUCAAUCCCAUUUAUCCUGGUACCAGAUGAUGAUGAUUCAGAGAUGAGAGAUGUACAGAUUGUGACCCACAGUGAGAGAGUAGAUCAGCCCCCACCUCUAGUAGCCAAGCCAUUUGAUGGUGCAGUUUCUCAUGACGAGGUCAGGAGAGAGGAUGAUGGGCUACUGAGGCAGUUACAGAGUACACAGGCCCGCAUAUCUAUCUGGAGUUUGAUAGCACCUUCUAGUACUCAUAGAGAUGCAUUGAUUCGGGCUUUGAGUCAGAUCCGCAUGGAGACCACCACUACCCUAGAGGGGUUGAUUUAUAUGAUGACGGUCGACAGUGCCACAUGUAUUGUGUUUUCAAAUGAUGACUUGCCACCAAAGGGUUCAAACCAUACACGCCCUCUAUAUUACAGUUGGUUGUUCAGGCCACAGAGUUCCAUCCGUCCUAUUGGAUAAUGGCUCGGCCUUGACUAGAACAAAAUAUACAAUUCUUAGGUGAGGGAAUUUGAUUGGGGAAAUUAUGCAAUUCUUGAGUGAAAAGAAAAAAGUAGGAGAGUUUUUAAGAAUAACUUAAAAUCCUUGACAAAAAAUAGUAUUGUACACCCUUGUACAGUUAGUAAAUUUGUCUUGUACAAUUAGUGUAAUCAAUAAUUUAGAAUCUAUAUAUUUCCUUGUGAAUAUAUGUUAAUAGGUUAGUUAACCAUGUUUGCAUUGGUUUGGUUUAAAAGAACAGGAAAAAUUGUUGUACAAUUUUUUUCCACAAUUAUCAUCAAUGGGGUAUAUAUUCAAAUGACCAUAUAUGAGUUAGAUAAAGUGCAUGAGAUGGGUAUAUGAUUAACCAAUCUAUAUGAGGAAUGUCAUCCAUCCCUGAUUGAGGGAAAUAAGCAAAUGAGUUUUUUAGAAUCAUUUAAAAUUUUUCAUAAAUGACAACCUUGUACACCCUUGUACAAUUAGUAUAUUUGCCUUAUAUACUUAGUGUAAAUACAUUGUAUAGUGAACCAAAUUACAUAUACCUCUUACUCAAUGUGUGUCCAUAGAUAGGUUACCUAUGUUUCCACUAGUUUAGUUCACAAAAUAGUGGAGGACGUAAAAACAAAAUUUUUCCUCAAGCAUCAUUAGUGAAAUAAGUAUUUGAAUUGUCAUGUAAAAGUUAAAUAAAAUGCAUGAGUUGGGUGUGUGAUAGAGGAAUGUGAGUCAUGAGAGUGUGCAAUCCUUAAAUGGCAAGACAAAAAAAAAAAAAAGUUGCUUAAAGUCAACUGAAAUCAUUGACAAAAGGGUAACCUUUUAUACCCCUUGUACAAUUUGUAGUACCCCAAACCCAAUUUAGGGGUAAAAUCAUAAUUUAAAAAAUAAUUAAUUAAAUUAAUUAAUUAAUCUAAUAAGGGUAUAUAAGUCUUUUUGCUUUUAAAAGCCUUAGGUAUAAAUUAGAUUUUCUAUAUUUUCUCUAUUCACAAAAGCCUUUCACAUGGAUAUAAAAAAUAUCAGAGAGCAUAGGGUUGAAGAUUUGGAGGUUUAGGGUUUGAAGAUCAACUUUUCAGGUAAGAUUUUAAUAAUCGGAUUAGUAUUUUAUAUUCAUUAAUUAGAUUUGAAUACUUUAGAAAUCCCAAUCUAAAUUAGGGUUUGCUUAUUUAAUUUUUUUAGACCAAAAUAUUGGAAAUUUAUGAAUGCAGAUUAAUUUAUUGAUGAAAGUAGGAAAAUUUCAAUUGAAUAAAAAAUAAAUGAAAGAAAAAUCAGUGGAAGAAAAGAAAUCUUAGAUUGAGAAAAUAAAUAAAUAAAUUGUUUGUGGAGGAUUUAGAUUGGAAUAAUAAUAACAAUAAUAAUAAUAAUUGUAGGGUUUUUGGAUAGGGGCGACAAUUAAAAAAAAAAAACGAAUAUGAGAUUGUUGAGUGAAAAAAAAAAAAUCAAUCUAACUGUGAGAGCCAAAGGGUGAAAGAGUGGUAGUGAAAUAAAUAAUAAUAAUAAUAAUAAUAAUAAUAAUAAUAAUAAUAAUAAUAAUAAUAAUGAGUGGAGUUGGUGGGGUUGUUGGAGUUGUUAAAGGUACAUGGGUAGUUUGUUAAGUAAGAGAGGAUAUUGAGAUUAAUAAUAAUAAUAAUAAUAACUUUUGUACAAACUUUAAUUUAAUUUAAGUAUAUAAAGAAAUAAAUAGUUAGGAUAAAUUUAGGGAGGAAUAUGAAUUUUAUAAAAAUUUGAAAACUUAUUAAAUUAAUUUGUUAUUGUUUCGGAAGUUGAAAAUAAUUUUAUCUGUAAUAAGGUUAACAUAGGAAAUUAAUUAGAAUUGUUGAGAACUAUAUAAAAUAUUGUUAGGAUUGUCAAAUCUAUAUCUCUAGAUAAAUAAUCAGUAAUAAAUGUUGUGUAUGAUAUUAUAUUAGAUGAAGAGUAAAUUCUUCAAGCUAAAUUCUUCAAGAUUUUGAGUGUUUUUUCAAGGUAAGGGAAAUUAAUGUAGAUUUUGUAAAAGAAAAUAAUUUUCUUUUUAUAUUAUAUUUUAAAAUGUGUAAAAAUAUUAUUUUUAUCUUUAUGCAUGGAUCAAAUAUAUGUUUUGUAUGAAAAAUAUAUUUGAACAUUUUAUUUGUUUAUGAAAAAUGAAAAUUGUGGAGAUGAUAUUUUGUUUUGUAAGUUUGAAUUAAUGAAAUGAAGUGUUUGAUUAUGGUUUCUAUGACCCUAGUCAACGGGUUAUAAUUGUUGACAUAUUCGACUCUAAUCAACGGGUUAUAAUAGUUGAUAUUAUAUGACCUUAAUCAACGGAUUAUAAUAGUUGACCUUAUGACCCUAGUCAAUGGGUUAUAAUUGUUGAUUUUCGGUUUUGUUCACCUUAAAUGAACAAAUUUGAAAUUAACCACUCAUUUGUAAAGCCCUACUUAAUUGAGCAACAUUUGUUAUAUAAUAACUAGAGUAAAAAUAUUUGAAAUGUGUUUGAUUUGGAUUUGAUAUGAAAUGAUUUUGAUAUAUAUGAAAAUGUUUGGUUAAACACUUUAAAAUGCAUUAGCAUAUUUGUACUCAAACGUUUUUAUGAAAAUGAUUUUACACUAAAUCUUCUAUUUGUAACCAUGAUUGAAACUAUUUGAUCCAUGAAACUGUAUUAAUGUUCCUUAUUGGGCUUUGAGCUCAUGCCCAUUCGUUGAUAAUUUUUUAGGUACCCUUAGUCUGAGCGAGAAGUGAUGGCUAGGCUGGAGAAUUUUUUCUUUGUUAGGAUUUUGGUUCAAACUUUAUUAUGGACAUUGUUUAGAUGUUAAAAUUUAAUUCAUGUUUGGAUGAUUUGAGUUUAGAGUUAUUUGGACAAUAACACUUCGGUUGAUGUGUUAAUUUUUUUUAAAGUUGAGAACUGGGGAUUAUAGAAUUUGUUUAUUUUACUACUUUGAAUAUGAAUUUGGUAAUUGAUAAUUUCUAGUUACAAGAUAAAUGUUUGUAUUGUUUUCACUUUGAGCAUUCGGGCUUGAGGUGUGAAAUGAUUGUCAUGUCCAUGUAGUAAGUUUUGGGGUGUGACACAAUUAGUACAUUUUCAUUGUACAGUUAGUAUAACACUCUCGUACAAUGAUGCAAAUUUCAUCCACAUGCAUACAUUAUGUGUCCAUAUGGGAUAUGUGAACCAUAUUUCCAAUGAUAUUUUUUAGAAAAUGGUGUAAGACGUAAAAAUAAAUUUUUUCCCUAAACAUCAUUAUUGGAGUAAGUAUUCGAAUUAUUAUAUGUGAGUUAAAUAAAAUGCAUGUGAUGAAGGAAUUUGAGGUAGGAGAGUGUGCAGUUCUUGGAUGACAAGAAAAAAAAAUAGUUGUUCAAAAUUGACUAAAAUCCUCCACAAAUGGUAGCCUUGUACAUUUAGUGUUUUUACCUUAUACAAUUAGUGUAAUACCCUUUUAUAAUGGUUUUAAUUUCAUACAUAUAUAUAAAGUAUGUUCACAUGAGUGUAUGAACUAUAUUUCUAAUGGUUUAACAUUUAAAAUGACUGAAAUAAAUAAAAUGUUAUUUUAUUUUAUUUUCAAUGCAAAAUAUAAUUAAAAAUAAGACAAAGAAAUUAUUUAAAAACUAUUAUUUAACUUAAAUUUAUUUAUUUAUUUAUUUCCUUUUAUUUUUGGAAAUAAAGAAAAAAGAAUAGAAAAUUUAUUUAACCAUAAAAAAUAUAAAUAUAAACUAUGUUAGAAAAUAUAAAUAAGCUCAAAUUUAUUUAUUUAUUUAAUUUUAUUUUUGGAAUUAAAGAAAAAAAGAAUAAAAAGUUUAUUUAACCAUUAAAAAUAUUAAUAUAAGAUAGGUUAGAAAAUAAAAAUAACUUCAAAUUUAUUUACUUAUUUCAUUUUAUUUAUUUAAAUUAGAAAGUAAUUUAUUUUAGUAGAUCAAAAUUUGCACAAUUAAUCUAUUAUUUUGUUAAUUAUGGAUAUAUUAAAAUUUUCAAUUAUACAAAAAAACUAAUAGAGAAAAUAAAAUUAAAAAGACCAAUAAAUAUAUAUAAUUUAGUUAUUUAAUUAUUUUUUUAUGUGAAAGAUAGACAAAAAACACAUAAUUGACUAAUUCAUUUGUUUAAUUGUAAAUAUACAUUUUUUUAUUAUUAAAAUAACUAAAGGAAAAAAAUAAAAAUGGAUAAUCAAUAAAUGAAAUUUAAUUUUUUUUUUUCAUAUAAAAAAUAGUAUCAAACAAAGUUUUCAAUAUUCAUUUUUAAAAAUAGUAUUCAUUUUUUUAAUUAAACGUAUUCCUAAAUAAUAAAAAAAUAAAAAUAAAAAUCAUGUUACCAUAUUUUUUUAAGUAAUUUUCAAAAUAGUUUUUAAAUAAUUAAUGUAAUUUUUCUUUAUUUAUAAUUUAAAAUGGAAAAUAAUACCAAUUUUUAAUUAUUUAGGAAAAAGUUUUUAAAAAAUAAUGAAAAAUCUGAACUGUUAAAAUAAAAUUGUGUUGGGUAUGUGAAUGACGGUGAAAUAAAAAUAAAAUUGUGUUGGGUAUGUUAAUGACGGUGCAAUAAAAAUAAAAGAGUUUAAUAAACGAUGAGUAUCAUAAAAACUAGUAUGAAUAUGGAAUAAGUCAAGUGGAUAUUUUAUUGCAUCAUUAAUUUAUAUUCUUACUAUUAAUUAUAGGUGAUAUAAGGAAAUUGGGCCAAUUUUCAUGGCCACCAAAUCUCGAAGCACAAUUCUCCCUUAUUUUUUUAGGCGAUGAAAAGGACUUUAGACUUGCAAUCAGUAAACCGAUAAGAGUUCAGGAAAUGUUUGAACAAUGAACUAAGAAUGUGGCUUGAAAUGAGUCAACACAUGACGGUGGAUUACAAAAUAUUAAACAAUGAGUAACACUAUGACUUUCAUGAGAAGUGAUGAACACGCGAGGUUGAAGAAGACAUGGUUUUUGAGUAGGUUGUACAUUUUAUGAUAUUCAACUACAAAAAUAUUAAACAAUGAGUAAGACUAUGACUUUUAUGAGGAGUCAACACACGAGGUUCAAGAAGACAUUGUGUUUUAGUAGGUUGUACAUUUUAUGAUAUUCAACUAUUUUGUGGAGGACUUGUCAAUGGAAGUGGUUAUGGUUUAUUAUUUAUUUUUAGAAAUUUAUGCAAGAAUGGACUAUGAUUAUACAACGAAAGAAAUAUAAUAAAUAUUUUUAAAUUAAGAAAAAUAAAUAUCAUUUCUUAAAUUACAAGAAUCAAAUAUUAUUAAUAUUUGAUUAUUUUUUAUUUAUGAAAAUAUUUACUAAAGUGGAUUCUUAUCAUUAUGCAUGUGAUUUUAUGUAUCUCUUUUAUUAUUUUAAUUCUGAAUCAUGUCAUUUUGUUUCCUAUCAUCCUAUAUAUUCUCUCUUUUUUUCUUUCACUUAAUAUCUAAGAAUUCUUAUAUUUUAUGUUAAAGUUAUACGUAUUUUUUGUUUUUUCACAAAAGAAAUAUAUCCUGAAUUUUUAACUAAAUAAUAGGUUGAUUAAUCGAGUGUUAGCUCUGACACCUUAUACUGUAGCAUCAAAAAUUUCGCUUGAGAAACCCCACCCCCCCCCCCCCCCCCCCCCCCNNNNNNNNNNNNNNNNNNNNNNNNNNNNNNNNNNNNNNNNNNNNNNNNNNNNNNNNNNNNNNNNNNNNNNNNNNNNNNNNNNNNNNNNNNNNNNNNNNNNAAAAAAAAAUUUUUUUUUUUAAAUUAAAAAAAAAAAAAUUUUUUAAUUUUUUUUUUUUUUUUUUUUUAAAAAAUUUUUAAAAAAGGGGUUUUUUUUCUUUUAGCAGGGGGUUUUAGUUUUUUUUUUUUUUUUUUUAAUUUGAAAAACGGCCUUUUUUUUUCCUUACCUCCAAAUAUUUUUUUUUUUUUUUUUUUCCCUUAAAUUUAAAAAAUUUUUUUUUUUUUUUUAAAAUUUUUUGUUUUUUUUUUUUUUUUCCAAAAAAAAAAUUUCCCCAAUUUUUUAAAAAAAAAAAGGGUUUUUUUAAGGGGGUUUUUUUUUACCCCCUUUUUUUGGGACAAAAAAAAUUUUCCUAGAAAAACCCCCCCCCCCCCCCCCCCCCCCCCCCCCCUCUUUUUUUUUUUUCAAAAAGCAAACAUAUAAACCUCCCCAUGUGCAUAUUCACAUGGAAUCACUAGAAAUAGAUCGUUGAAGAUAUCGUAUUGAUGAACAAAAAUGGAGAAUACUCAACCAUACGGUUACAACUGCAAUAAAGGAUUCCUAGGAUCCCUCAAUCAUUGUUUUCUUUAGUUUCUAUUUCAUCUAGUUUCUUUAUUUAAAUUUAAUUUCUAUUUAGUUUNNNNNNNNNNNNNNNNNNNNNNNNNNNNNNNNNNNNNNNNNNNNNNNNNNNNNNNNNNNNNNNNNNNNNNNNNNNNNNNNNNNNNNNNNNNNNNNNNNNNAAAUUUUUUUUUUUUUUUUAAAAUUUUCAUGUUUUUUUUUUUUUUUCAAAAAAAAAAUUUUCCGGGAUUUUUUUAAAAAAAAAGGGGGGUGUUUUAGGGGGGUUUUUUUUCCCCCCUUUUUAGGGGGCCCAAAAAAUUGGGGGGGGGAAACCCCCCCCCCCCCCCCCCCCCCCCCCCCCCCUCUUUUUUUUUUUUCAAAAAGCAAACAUAUAAACCUCCCCAUGUGCAUAUUCACAUGGAAUCACUAGAAAUAGAUCGUUGAAGAUAUCGUAUUGAUGAACAAAAAUGGAGAAUACUCAACCAUACGGUUACAACUGCAAUAAAGGAUUCCUAGGAUCCCUCAAUCAUUGUUUUCUUUAGUUUCUAUUUCAUCUAGUUUCUUUAUUUAAAUUUAAUUUCUAUUUAGUUUAGUUUCCUUGCCUUGUCUAUCCUCUAUAAGAUAUAUAGCUUAUAUAAAAUAAGGAGAAUGUAAUAGAGAAAGACAUGGAAAAGAAUCUUCCUAAAAAAAACCUAGAAUUUGUUCUCUCAAGUUAAAUCUUCUCCUUCGAUUAUAAGAUUUGGUAUCAAAGCACAGUCUUGGCACUAAUCUUGACAAAAGGGACUAGAGUGCAAGAACAAUGUAGACAUGAAGGGACUUGAGUGCAAGAAUAAUGUAGACUUGAAGACAUAUUGCAUCUAACCAAAACUUGAUAUAAUAUUUAUAUAAUAAUUAUAGUUUAUAUUAUUAUGGACUCAUAGACAUUUUUCAUGUGUGUUCCUAUUCGAUGACGAUACUCAUUUAUUGUGAAAAAUGAUUAUUUAAAAACCCUUUUUAGGUUUUUUUUUUUAAAAAUCAUCACUUAUUUUAUUUAUUUUUAAUAAAGAAAAAUAAAAUAAGAAAGAAAAUUUUAGAUGAUUCCUUUUUUUAAAAAAAAUAAAAAUAAAAAAGACAAGUUUGUGAAUUAGGAAUGAGUUUGGGAAUCAGGUUACCAAGGCAUAGGAAUAAGUUGUACGUAACAUCCCUCUAAACCUGUAUAUCUAUGAUCUCUACUAAGCAAGUGAAAUGAAUUAUGAUGAUUAAAUAAUCUAUUAUAGAUACACAAAAAAAGAACACAAAUAUAAAACAAGUCAUGAUGUUUGUCAUGUUACAAGAAUGUAUAAAACAAAUGAUAAAAGAAUUUGCAUAAAUUUAUUUAUGAAAUUAAUAAAUAAAAAACUUGGGUUUAAUUAUUUCUAAAUUCAAAGGAUUAAAAAAAGUUUAUUUACAUAAAAAAAAAGAGAAGAAGUUAUUCCAAUUUGAUGAUUCCAAUCUAUUUUAAGUACAAAAGAAAGUUUGAUUUUUUUUUUUUAUUUACCAAAAAUGCUCCAAAGUACUUUUCUUAAAAAUAAUAAUAAAAAAAAGAAUAAUUUUCACAAAAUCUAUUUACCAACAUUCCAAUUUGAUUUUCGUGUAGAGAGAAACUGUUUCUAUAAUUUUUAUUAGAACAUGAUUUUUACAAUUUUUUUUCAAAGUAUCCAAAUCUAAUCUUAUGUCCAAGAGAACUUUUACAAAUUCUUUAAGAAAAGGAUUUUUUUAAUUUUGUUUAAAAAUUUGAUAUUUACAAAUUACUUUUAAAAAAGAUUUUUUUUACAAAUUUAUUUAGAAAAUAAUAAAUAUUCGGAUCCAAUUUUAAUUACAAAAUUUUUUUUUUUAGUUUUCAUUGAAAAUAAGAUUUUUACAAUUUUAUUUACAUAAGUAUGAAAAUUCAAAUCCGUUUUAUUUACUAAAAUGCAUUUUUUUUUUACUAUUUUUAUUUAGACAUGAUUUUUACAAUUUUUUUUUUUUUAAAAAAAAAGUUUAUGAUUUUAUCAAAAAAGAAAAGGUUUUGCAAUUUAUUUUUUUUAACAAAGGUUUUAAUGUUUUAUUAAAACAAAAUGCUUUCUAGAUUUUAUUUUAUUUUUAAAUGAUUUUCACAAGUUAAAAAAAAAAAAAAAAAAAACAAAAACGAAAACUUUACAUUUUUAUUUAUUUAUUUUUAAAUGAUUUUCCAACUGUAUUUACAAUUUAUUUAAAAACAGAUUUCACAGUUUUAUUUAAAAAUACAUUUUAUGUUUUAUUUCAAUCUUACAUUUUUUUUCUUAUUUUUAGAAAAAAAAAAAAAGAGAAGUCCAAAUUUAUUUUUCCCCUCUCUCUCUCCCUCCACACGCUCAUUAAUUUUAAUGUUAAGGUAUCAGCCCAAUUGACUUGAUUUAUAUCAACUUAAACUUUUGGUCUACUAGGUACCUUGAUACAACGGCAAAGCCUUGAUUUAUACAGGAGGUCUUGAAGGUAAACUGUGAACCUUACUUAUGUGUACCCAAACCCUACCAUUUAUUUAUAAUAUAGUCAUCAUAAUAUUUAAAUAUGGGACAUUUUAUGCAUUCAUCAUGUGAAGAUCAAAGAAAACAACAGAGAUCGAUACAACAAAUCCACGUUACAUAAUAAAAAGCAAUAUCAAACCGAGGCAAACCAACCUUAAUAGACCAAAGCCACCAAGCAGCAAUUGAAAAAACCACAAAGGGUUUAUCCCCAUACAUAGUAUACUUUGAAAAAUGAAACAGAAGCUAGAAUAUACCAUCUUUAUUUGUGUAAUAUAUCUCCACUCUCAUAUUGGCACAGGGUCUAUGAGCAGCAUUGAAAUAUUAUUUUUCAUCACUUCUCCAAGAUGUGUGAAUUCAUCUUUCUGCCCCUUGUACAUCACAUCUGCUGCUCGAGCAAAAUUGAGAAGACGACUAAGGAGAAGCAUUGGAACUGCAGUAGGUUUGAGGCACUCUUCAUUUAUAUCCUUCCAUGCAUUCUCGAGUUGCUUGUGAAAUUCCCCGUAUGCCUGUUGCUCGGAGACACCAUGUUGCUUCAUGUAACAUUCGAUACUUGAUGCAAUAUGCCCUCUCUCUUGCUCAAACUGCAUACAUAGUAAUAUAAGAUGUUAAAAAGAAAUUGGCAUAUAUAUAUAAUAGAUUUUCUUUAAGAUCCCUUUGUUUUUAUGUGAUUGAUAUCCAAGUAUCUUGUGCGUAGGAAGUGUUGUUUCAUUGUACCUUGUGCGUAGCCAUGUCAUCCAUGAGCCUAAUGACUUUGGAGGAAGCUCUAACAAUCUUAGGGUUUUGUUGCAGCCAAUCAAAGACUUCCUUGGUUGCAAUCUCUCCCAUGCCAAUAAAAGAGAUGAAUGUUAACACGGGGGCACCAAUACUUACCAAUGCAACACGCAUGUACUCUUCUAUUGUUGGUAUGUAUUUUCCAUGGAACCAUUUGGCUUCAACCAAGUAAGCUUGGACCAAGUUUUUCAUCUAGGAUAAAAAUUCAGCCAAGUAAAUAUAUCAUGCAAGUGUUAUAUAUGGCAUUUUAUUUACAAUACUAUAUAGGAUAUCAUAAACACAAUGGAGUUCAGAGAAUCCUACUGCAUCUUUUGCUUUGUGCACAGAGUGUGAUCUUUCUGUGUUUUCCAUCUCCUCAAUUUCUUUGUAGGCAUCGAAGACUGCCUGAUAGCAUGGCUUCAUGUAUUCAGGAAGCUGAUGUGUGCUGUCAAUAUCCCACCUGAAACCAAGUUCCCUUUUAAAGUUCAAGUAUGAAAUCAAUUAAUUGGUUGUGGGUAAUUUUAAUCUUGCAUAUAUCAAACCUCCCAAUUGCCUCUGUAAAGAGCUCCAGUUCUUCGAGUGUUCCAUAUGCAUCAAAUAUGUCAUCCGUAGUUGUGAUCAGAGCAUGUAAUUUGGUUUGUAUUCUUCUAGCAUAUGAAUACUGGGGCUCAAAACAAGCUGUUGCUAUCCAAAAGUACCCUUCCACCAAUCUAUCUCUUACAAAAGGUAGCUUUGAAGAAAAAUCUAGGUCUUUCCACCACCUGAGAAAAUACAUUAAUUCACAUACCGUAAACAGCUUUAACAUAAGUUCAUACAUGAUUUGAAAACUAACCCCAAGAUAUUGCUUAGCUCUUUUUUAUACAGUGACUGCAGUUGGUUGAAGUCUAACUUUGCAAGCUUCAGUAAAGCUUUACUAUGUGACGCUUCAUCCUCGUAGAUAGACAUGAAAGGCCUUGCCUCUAGCCUCUCCAAGCCUUUCCUCAAGGGCCUGUAUAGGGCAUGAGUUACUUGUGCUGCAAGAGGGUAUUCUAAAUGUUCUACCAUAGACUUGAGGUGAGUGGUGGUGAAAGCAAGUGCUUCAUCUAGUAUGUCUUCUUCCCCCACCCUGAGAUGUGCAGCUUCAUACAAGCCUAGUAGGCCACAUGCAUCAUUGAUCAAAGACUCCUUGAACCUUCCCUUUUCAUCUGUGUACCUGUUGAAUAUAUCUGUAGUCAUCACCAAAACAUAGAAUGUUAUAUGUGAGCUUUGCUAGAUGAUAUUCAAGCACCUUAUAAUACAUGAUAUUCAUGAGGCUUACCACAUGAAAUAUUGAAGCCUUGCUGUCUUAGUAGUCGAAAUCGAAGCGCAACAUCAUAGAGAUCAUCAUUUAUGUCAUCAAUACAAUGAUAGUUAUCAUAGGUAUUUUGUAAUGCUUCUUCUAUCUCCUUUUCAAAGUGGUAUGCCACCCCAAGCCGUUGAACUGCAUCGAUAAACUUCAGCUGUUUUGAAGGGUUACUAGCUGCAGCCAUCAGCUCUCUUCUAACUUCCUCCUUUAGAUCUUCCAACUGCUGCUCUUUAUGGGCCAGAGUUAUCUGUAUCAAUAAAUUGCAAGAACAAAACGUGAGAAAAUCUUUAGGUCUUGUUAUGCAAACUACAUACAUGAUCAGAAAAUCACCUCAUCCUCAGGAGUGUGGCUCACGAUGAAGGUAUUGCCCCAAAUGCUAGGCUGAUAAUUUGCAGUUCGGCGAUUAGUCUCUGGAUUAGCAACUGGGGCUGGAGAAGACCCGUUGCUGGUAGCGAGAAUUAAGGCCAUGUGUAAACUCACUCGAGCACUCAACAUCUGAAUCAGAUGACUUGCAAUGCUCGGUAUUUAUAGGAUGGGAAAUGGUAUGUGGGAUUUGGUUUAGUUUUGGGGCCCACGGUGUGAAACAGUCGUGCUCAGAAUAGACUAUAAAAUACUGGUGUGAAAAUGGACUAAGUUUGUUCAACGAAUGCGGUAGAUUUCCUUGCUAAAAAGGUGUGUUAAGUUCGAAUUUCUUCCACAAUUCUUUUUAAAUUUUGAACUUAAUUUGAAUUUCUUCCACAGUUCUUUUGAAAAUUAGAAAUUAAGUUGAAUUUCUUCCACAAAGAGAAACCCCUUGCCUAAAUUCACGCAAAAGCCCAAACCAUUAUGGGCGGCUAAGGUAUGAAUUUGACCUUUUUUCUUUUCUUUUUUCCCUUUUUUUUUAAUGGACCCAAUUUUGAGUCUCUUGUCCUUUUUUUAUGUACUAUUUACUAAAAUUAGAAAGUUUCCCACAGGGUGAUUUUUGGGUUUAGGAAUUUGGGCUAGAGAAAGAAUUGGUCAGUACCAUCCAGCGGUUGUAUUCAAUUGAAUGGUAUGUGGGAUUUGGUUUAGUUUUGGGGCCCACGGUGUGAAAUUCACUCAGGAUAUCCAAACCAAUAUCAAUCCGUAGGUAUUUAAUUCAAACAACGUGCUAAGUUGAUUGGGAAAAUGGACUAAGUUUGUUCAACGAAUGCGGUAGAUUUCCUUGCCAAAAAGGUGUGUUAAGUUCGAAUUUCUUCCACAAUUCUUUUUAAAUUUUGAACUUAAUUUGAAUUUCUUCCACAGUUCUUUUGAAAAUUAGAAAUUAAGUUGCAUUUCUUCCACAAAGAGAUUAGCAACUGGGGCUGGAGAAGACCCGUUGCUGGUAGCGAGAAUUAAGGCCAUGUGUAACUCACUCGAGCACUCAAUAUAUGAAUCAGAUGACUUGCAAUGCUCGGUAUUUAUAGGAUGGGAAAUGGUUCAUUACAAUUAAUUCAAGAUCACCUAUCAUAUUUAAACCACGUUUAUUAAAAAUUAAAUAUUUAAAAUAUGUUUUUUGUUCUCUUAGAAAUACGAAAAGUGUAUCUUAUUCCCUUAAUAAUUCUCAACAUUCAACCAGCCGCCAAACAGUGAUUAAGACUUUUUCACGUGAAGAUAAAACUUAUGAUUGAUCUUAUUUUUAUAAAAACACUAAAAAACGAUUUUUUUGAUCUUUAACUUAAAAAUGGUUUUUAAAAAUAAUUUUUAGAAAACAUGAUCAAGCAGACUCUUAGGGUUUCAUUUGAGAAAUAAAUGAAGAAGAUCACAAAAAAAAAUUGAAAAUAAAUAAAGAAGAUGAUAUUUUAAUCUUUAUUUAAUAUCUUAUUUUUAUUAUCUAAAAUUAUUUAAUUAUUCUAAUUAAUGAUAUUUUGAGUUUAAUUAUGAUUAAAAUAUAUAAUUAAAUUAACUAUAUAUAAAAGUUUUAAAUUGAGAUAAGUUGCUUAAUGAUUGAUUGUGGAUUGAAAUUUUACUCCCAAAAUAUGCAUGUGGCUUUCGCUUGAAAAGGCAUAUGUUGGGAAGCAGUUAUGCUUGGUUAUGAGUUCUAUAAGCUUACGAUUUUAGAUUUGCAUGAUUAUCUUAAUUUGGAUUAGACAGCUACGGAGAAGGGGCCUUUAUUCAAACUGUUUGUCUUAUUCUCAACAAAGGAAGCAUUUUAUUUAAGACAGAACACUCUAAAACUAUGAAAAACUAACAGCCAAAUUAAAACAAUAUUGAAUAAAAAAAUAUUGAAUAGAAACAGAAGAAUUUUUUACAGGGCUAUCUGCAUGUAUAGCGAAAUUGCAUACACAAACUAUUGCUUAGAAAAACAUUGGAUGGUUAAGAUGUGUUAUGUGUGUAUAUAUAUGUCAAAAAUUACCUCAUCAGCUAACGAACCUCUCACCCCAUAUGCUAGGGGCAAAAUCUGCCUUUGGACGAUUAACCACUCGUUUAGCAUUUUGAUCAGAAGAACAUGCUGAUAUUUUAAUGGCCAUGUUGGUUGAAACAAGAAUGGGACAACAGGUGAUGAACCGCUGACCCCAAUUUCUAGAGUGGGAGUUCUCCUAGGUUUCUUACCUAUUAUAGUUGGAUAGGCUUGUCUUUUGCUGAAAGGCAAAAGAUAUUUGAAAAAAUAAGGCUUAGAUUAUAAUAGUGAUGCAAUUCUUCAAUUUGGUUUAAGAUAAUAGUUCCGAAGUCUGUAGUCAAUUUCAAGUAAAUAGGUAACUAUACAAUUAUUGUAUCCACAUAUGCCUAUAAUUAUGUGUUAUUAACAUUUGAUAUAUAAAGAAGUUUGAGGAAUGUAAACAACCCUAAGUUCAUUCUAAAUGACUUUGCCAAUUAUUUUAUAUAAUCAUAAUUUUGUGAUUUUUUUUCACUAGGUAAAAAAAUUCAAAUUAAAUUCAGGGAAAAUUUUCCAUUUCCUAUUUUCUAUUUCAUUCAGGCUUGAUAUAUGCAAAAUUACCCACAUCCAAUGAUUUAUUUUAUUUUUAUUUUAUUUUUAUAUAUUUGAACUUUAGAAGGGAACUUGGUACUUGAUUUCCAGGUGGGAUAUUAACAACAUAUAUCAGCUUCCGGAAUACAUGAAGCCAUGCUAUCAAGCAGUCUUGGAUGCCUACAAAGAAAUUGAGCAGAUGGAGAACAAAAGAAGAUCCUGUUGUGUUCACUACGCAAAAGAGGCAGUAAGGGUCUCUGAGUUCUAUCUGUGCCCCUAUAACAUGUAAUGUACACUAGAAUAAUUAUUUGUUGGCAAUGGUAUAACAUAUUUCAGAUGAAAAGGUCUGUUCGAGCUUACUUCAAUGAAGCCAAAUGGCUACAUGAAGAAUAUGCACCUACGAUAGAAGAGUAUUUGAGUGUUGCACAAGUCACCUCUGAGGUCACCUUGUUCACUGUCAUCUGCUUUGUUGGAAUGGGAAGGAUGGCACCAAAGAGGUCUUUAAAUGGGUGUGGAAUGACCCAAAGAUCGUCGGAGCUUCCUCCAAAAUUAUGAGGCUCAUGGAUGAUAUGGCUUCACACAAGGUACUAUGUUAUAUUACAUAUCUCAAAGACAACGAGGUCUUCAUAAGAAUUUAAUUACCCUUUUGGUAAACAUUUCCUGUUGGCUUUUGUGUAGUUUGAGCAAGAGAGAGGACAUAGUGCAUCAAGUGUUGAAUGUUACAUGAAGCAACAUGGUGUCUCAGAGCAACAUGCAUACCAAGAGCUUAACAAGCAAGUCGAGAAUACAUGGAAAGAUGUAAUCCAGGGCUGCCUUAAACCUCCUGCUAUUCCAAUCCCUCUCCUUAAACGGGUUCUUAAUUUCGCACGCACCGGGGAUUUCAUGUACAAAGGCCGUGAUUAUAGGUUCACGAAUGUUGGAGAUGUGAUGAAAUAUAGUAUUGCAUCACUAUUCAUGGACCCUAUGCCAAUAUGAGCCUGGAGAUUUGCAAUGCUAAUAAGCUUUCUGGCUUCUGUUUUAUAAUUAGCCCUUCUAGUUUGGGGUCUAUGUUGGAGAGUAUGAUAUAUAUAUAUAUAUAUAUACAAAAUUCUCAACCAUAUUAAGGCAAUGACAAAGUCACAGUGGGAAAUGGUAAGAAUCUGUUAAUCACACAUGUUGGAUCCAAGACACUACAUUCUCAUCACCAAGCUUUUCAUCUGAAAACCAUCUAUAACGUUCCUUAGCUUACCACAAACCUUAUCAGUGUAUGAAAGUUUUGUUCAGAUAAUCACAUAUUCAUUGAAUUCGAUCCUACUUUCUUUUGUGUCAAGGACCAAGCCACCAAGAAGAUUCUGAUCCCAGGCACUAUUGAACAUGGGCUCUACAAAUUUCCUAGCUCUUCUCUUCCACCAUCAUCUUCCUCAAUGGCUCUUACUGCUCAGUCUACUGCUGACAUCUCCCUAUGGCACCAAAGGUGUGGUCACCCGACAGCUCCAACAUUAAGACAUAUCCUAACCUCUUGUAAUGUUCCUUAUUCUACAAACAAGUUCAAUCAAAUUUGUUGUGCUUGUCAGCUUGCUAAAAGUCACAAGCUACCCUUCCCGCUUUUUUCUUCUCGUGCUUCCCAAUCUCUUGCACUCAUUCAUGCAAACUUAUGGGGACCAGCCCAUACUCUUGCAACAAACGGUGCCAAAUAUUUUUUAGUGUUUGUUGAUGAUUUCUCUAGAUUUUCAUGGAUCUAUAUGCUGCAUUCCAAAGAUCAAGUGUCCUCUUAUUUUGUUCAAUUUCAAUCAUUUGUUGAAAAACAAUUUGAACUUCCUAUCGAGUGCCUUUAGUCUGAUACUGGAGGAGAGUUCAAGGCUCUCACUCAAUUUCUGGUUAAACAGGGUAUUCUUUAUCAAACUUCUUGCCCCUAUACACCUGAACAGCAUGGGAGAGCUGAGCGUAAGAUUUGACACAUAACCGAAACUGGACUUGCUCUUCUCACUACUGCUUCUUUGCCUCUCACCUUCUGGUCCUACACCUUCCAAACUGCAGUGGCUCUCAUCAACUGCGUGCCCACUCCUCUACAUUCCUAUGCUUCUCCCUAUCAGGUUCUUUAUAAAAAAUCUCCAGCUCAUCAUCUAUUUUGAGGUUUUGGAUGUCUCUGCUACCUAUAUCUCAGACCUUAUAACCCUCACAAGUUUGUCCCUCGUUCAACCCAAUGUAUAUUUCUCGGCUAUAAUUCCACUAACAAAGGAUAUCUGUGUUUGCAUCCUUCUUCGAGGCAUGUUUAUGGCACAAGACAUGUUGCCUUUGAUGAGAUUACCUUCCCCUUUCACCAAUUGUCCUCCGUCGCCUCUCACUCUUCUCCUGUUGUGGAAAAACUCCUGCCUUUCCUGCACCUCCUCAUUCUUCCCUACCACCUCUAUCUCCUAGUUCCAAUUCCCUACCACCUGCCACUACAUCAUCUAUCCAGUUUCUACCUCCUCUAAUUCAGGAUCCCUCUACUGCCUCCCCCACCUCUGCUCCACCCUUACCUUCCUUCCUCAAUACUCAUCCCAUGGUAACCCGUUCAAGGCAGGCAUCACAAAACCCAAGGCUCUUCUUGCAUCUACUCCCACUAAACCCAACACUUUUCGACAUGAUAUUAAGGAUCCUCAAUGAGAACUGGCAAUGGUUGUUGAAUAUCAAGCUUUACUCCGUAAUAACACUUGGUCCCUUGUUCAUCUCCCUUCUCAUGGGAAUAUUAUUGGAUGCAAAUGGGUAUUUCAAUAUUGAUCAUCACAAGGCAUAUCUUGUGGCCAAGGGUUUCACCGAAACUCAGGGAAUUGACUAUUUUGAUACCUUCAACCCUAUAGUGAAGCCGACCACCAUUCUUAUUGUUCUCACUCUUGCACUUUCAUCCCAAUGGCCCAUUUGACAACUGAACAUUCAAAAUGCAUUUCUAAAUGGUGACCUUCACAACCAGGUCUUCAUGCAACAACCCCUUGGCUUUGUUCAUCCUCAACACCCAUCUUACGUCUGCCAUCUUCACAAAGCCCUUUGUGGGCUUAAACAAGCUCCAAGAGCUUGGUUCCACAAACUCAGUACCUCUCUUACCACUUGGGGAUUUGAAUCUUCUUGCGCACACACCUCUUUAUUCUUCAAACAUGCAACAUCUGAUGUUCUCCUCAUUCUUGUCUACGUUGAUGACAUCCUCGUCACUAGUAGUUGUGCCUCUCAGGUUACCUUUUUUUAUCUCUCAGCUCAGCUCCACCUUUGCUCUUCGUGACCUUGGUUCCCUUUACUAUUUCUUUGGCAUUGGGGUUACUCACAGUACUGAUUCUCUUCAUCUCUGCCAACAAAAAUAUGUGCAUGACCUGCUCACUCGUACUGCCAUAACUAAUGCUAAACUUGUUCUUACACUGGGUUCCUUGGCCAAGCCUCUCUCUCUCACUGAUGGUGAUCUACUUCAUAUCGCAACAUUGUUGGCGCAUUACAGUAUGUUACUGUUACACGUCCAAACCUUUCUUUCGCCGUUAACAAGGUAUGCCAGUUUAUGGCUUCCCAACGACCACCCGCUAGCUGGCUGUCAAGAAUAUAAAAAGUAGUUAAAAAUAAAAUGAAAGUAUAGAUUUAAAAUAAAAAAUAAAUUAAAAAUGAAUAAUUAAAAAUUUUAAAAAUGAUAAAUAUUAUUUUUUUUUAAAAAGUUUUCAAAAAAAUCUCGGAUAUUUUCAGAUAAAUUGACGAUGUAUCCGAUAUAUUCGUUGAUAUAUCUGAUACAUCGUUGAUAUAUCUCCAAUAUUUUGAUAGACUUCCUCUAUUGCUUCGCGUGUCGCUUCACACUCGAUUUUUUCAUCGAUUUAUUGAUUUCAAAUUAACCGAAAUAUCGACAUAUUUCGGGGAUUUUUGUGAUGUGUCCGAUAUAUUUGUUGAUAUAUCCGAUAUAUUCGUCGAUAUAUCUGAUAUAUAGUCGAUAUAUCUCCAAUAUUUUGAUAGACUUCCUCUAUUGCUUCGUGCGUCGCUUCACACUCGAUUUUUUCAUCGAUUUAUUGAUUUCAAAUUAACCGAAAUAUCGACAUAUUUCGGGGAUUUUUCUGAUAUUCCUCCCAUUCGAUAAUGUUGCUUAAUAUCCUUUCAGGGUCGUUCGAUAUCCGAUAUAUCGGCGAAAUAUCACCGAUAAAAACCGAUUUUUCAAUCCAUGCUUAAUAGUGGGUUUCCCUUUUGUUUGGCCUCUUGUAGACCCCCAUUUUGGGGCCCGGUUUUUUUUUAUCUCUAUUUUCUUUGCAGGUGUCACCACCCCAAAGAGCCACGUGUUGCCUCUUUGGUGGUUGAUAGGGAAUCAACAUUGCUUUUCGGGGACCUAUGGUAGGUUGACACGUGGAAGAAUAUUCUGGAGAGCUGAUUUCUGUUAUGGGGGAGCGUAUGAGAGUGUUAUGGGGGAGCGUAUGAGAGAGGAUAUUCUGUAGGCACUUUGAUUCUCACAUGUGCAUGAUCACCUUGAGUAUUCAUUGAUUUCCGCAUCAAUUGUCACAUCAGCUUCAUUUUAUUAGUAGAGACCCGACUUUAGGGACUUAGAGGGGUGUUACGGUCUUUACCGUACCUUCCCGAUAAGUAACCUGACCCCCGAGCUCGAUCCGGUUUUUCACGGACCACCUUUUCCAAAUAAGGAGUCACACUUAGGGUUUUCUUUCUUAUUUUGUUUACCCUUUAAAAAUAAAACAAAAUUAAGUGGCGACUCCAAGUCAUUUUUUUUAAUCAGUAAAAUCAUUUUCAAAAUAAAAAUCGAGUUCGCCAUCGAUUGGAAAACGCAUGAGCUGAAAUGCGGGGUCCACACCUCUGUUUUUUUUUUAAAAAAAAAAAAAAAAAAUCCUUUCCGAUUCUAUGGCCUUGAGUGAGCAUUAUGUAUUUCAACUAUUUUGACAUGUUCAAAAUAAAUUACUAAGAAUUUAAAGGGAAUUUGUUCGACAAGUACUUUUUUUUUCACAUAUUUAUUUAUACAUUAUUUAGUUUAGGUUGCAUUAUUCUAUGUAAAUAAUUUAUUGGGUAUGGGAAUUAUUUUUAUAAAUGGCUGAGUAGAUUCAAUUUUAGAUAUUUAUUUAUUGAGCAUGAAAAUUAUUUAUUAAAACAUGGUUUAACAACCAUGCGAUGGAAUCAACCUGUUAAACAAAAUAAACUAAUACUAUAUUAUUUUAACUUAAAUUAUUUCUUGAUGGUAGCAAUGUUGAAAAAACAAAUAUCAAUAAAGACUAACCUUAACAAGAAAAUAGUAAUUAACAUAAUUUUAUAUUGACUUGUAAAAUUGGGUCAACAUAUAAAUAUAUUAAUUGUAACAAGAAGACCUACAUUGAUAAUGAAACGUCAAUAUUAGUCUAUAUUGCCAACUGUAAAAUAUUAAUAUAUGUAUAUAGCGGAUGUUGUCAUUAUGUCUUAUUUAUAUAUAUAUAUAUAUAUAUAUAUAUAUAUAUAUAUAUAUAUAUAUUGAGAUCUCAAUUAAUGAUGCUAACCCUCAAAUCCUUCUUUCUUGGGGUGAAUGUUAGUUCUCAUGUAUGAAGGUAGGUAUGGUUGGUCCAAUCAUCUUAAAGUCCGUGUUAUAUUUGUAACAAAACUUUCGCAUAAAUAAUCGUUUUCAUGAUUAGGAAUUAGAGAAAAUUUUGUAGAAGAUUUUUCCAAAUUUGAAAAUAACCAUGGAAGGAAUUCAACUUAAACACGUUUCUUUGUGGAAGAGUUGCAUUGGCAAGGAAAGAUACACACAUUCAUUGAACAGUCUUAGGCCCAUUUUUCCAAGCAGCCUAGCACGUUGUUUGAAUUAAACCCCUAUGGAUUGAUAUUAAUUGGAUCCAUUACCAGUCAUGCAUUCAAUCCCAAAGCGUUGAUUAUUCUAACUUAGGGAUACUUGGUAAAACUUAAUACUUAUUAUUUAAUAAUUUGAGUUGAUUUUAAAUUAAAUUAUACUUAAAUUGUUGACUUAAAACUUAUUAUUUUAAGUAUUAAGAUAUAAUAUUAACUUAAAAUUUAUUUAAAAUCAUUAAAUUGACAUAUUUAUUUUUAUAAAUUAUAAUUAGAUAAGAAAAGGUUGAGUAAUAAUAGAAGUUAUAGCGUUGCAAAAGAAAUCAUGACGGUAAUUAAGACAAAUAAAGAUAAAAAGAUAAAAUAAAAAUAUAGACUUAAAAAUAAAUUAAUUAUUUUUAUUUAUUACAUAAAAUUAUUUUUUACUUUAAAUCAUAUUAUUAAGUUAUUUUACUAAACAUACUUAAUUUACUUAAUGACUUAAAUUAAGUUAUUAAAUCAUUUUAAGUUAUUAAAUUGAUGUAUCAAAUACCUACUUAUUGAAUGUAAACAUAAAAGGAAAUUAGGAAAGCAAAGUAGAUGGUUUAUUAGGUGAAAGCAUAUCAAAUCCACAUAUCAAUAUAUCACACUUUUACCAAAAACCCACCUCAUGCCAAGCCUAUAAGUUGUCAAGUCCUUGCGAUCCAACAUCCUUCUUAUGGUUCCCAUAUGGAUUUCUAUUAUUAUCAAAACAAAAAGUCUAUAAUAAUUUAUUUAUUUAUUAUUAUAACAAUUAAAUAAAAAGAUAAACUCAUUUGUGGAAUAUAAUUAAUAAAAAAAAAGAGAAGUGUUGGAGUUUUAAAUUAUUAUUAUUUUAUAUUUUUUAUAUUUUAAAUAAAAUAAUAAAUAAUAUAAUUAAAAUAAUGGAUAAAAAAAAAGUGCACUUUCAAGUUUUAUACCUUCAACCUAUACGAGUUGUAAUAUUUUCAAGUUGGUAUUCUUUAACAUAAGUCAAAUUCUAACUUAUUCAACUUUGACAAUUUUAACCUAACCCUCGUAUUGGUACAAAUUAGACUAUUCUACCCUGCUUAAGGUACCGUCCUAAAAAAUUCAUGAGAAUUAUGGACCCAUCUUAUUACGAAUGUUGUAUAUUAAAUUUCCAAAAGUCAUAUUUAAAAAUUAAUAUUUAUGUUUAUAUUUCACAGUACAUAUUUAUCUUUACUUUAAUAUAUAUAUAUAUAGUUGAUAGGCAGAAUUGUCCUUAAUGGCCUUUGUACAUAGAGUACGUACCUGGUCAUAAGAAUACGUGUCAAAUAUAAACAUGCUUUUUAAAUUUAAUCAUUUAUAUUAUAAGUUUAUUAUUAUUAUUAUUAUUAUUAUUAUUAAAAUUUUAUUGUAUACCUUGUAAAAAUAAAAGUUAUGAUCUUACAUAAGGUUGAAAUUUGAAGUUCAAGUUCAUUAAACUGUGCAGAGUUUAGCUUUCUAUUACUCUAUAUACAUAUAUAUAUAUAUAUAUAUAUAUAUAUAUAUAUAUAUAUAAUCAAUUCCAUCAAUUCAUUAUUUUUUAAGAUAUUGAAAAUUACGUAAAUAUUGAUGGUUAUAUUUUACGGAAACAUUGAAACAAAACAAUAAUAAAUUAUUAAAGUUGUUUUACUAAAUAAAAUAAUAUAAUCAUCGUUUUAUAUAUAUAUAAAAGAUCAGUUCAUUAUUUUUUAAGACAUUGAAAAUUAUAAAAAUAUUGAUGAUUAUAUUUUAUGAAAACAUUGAAACAGAAAAAAAAAAAACAUUAUAUAUAUAUUCUUAUACUUUGUUUAUUAAUAAUUUUGUUCUUUUUCAUUUUGACUUAAGAAUCUUUUUAAAUAGUGAUUUACUCUUCAUCGAAGAUUCAAAGUUAUUUUUCAAUUAAUCGAUCAUAGGUAAGUGUGAAAAUGAUUGAGUAAAGACAAGUUAAUCAUCACAAAUAAGUGUGAGAAGGACCGAGUAAAAACAAAGGGUUGAAUUGGAAGUUUUAAUUUACAUAAAAUAUUUUAAUUAAUUUGAAAAGAAUUUUAAAUUGAGAAUUUGAAAAAAAAAAAGAAAUUUCCAAAUAAUAAAAAUAAUUUAGAAAUGAAUUUUAAAUUAAGGAUUUAAAUUUUAAAAUUUGAAAAAGGAAAAUUUUUAUAAAUCUUUUCUAAUUUUAAAUAUGAAAUAUUUCCAAAUCUUUUUAAAACUCUUAAGUUUCUAAAUUGUUUUUAAUAAAAUAUAAUCUUUAAAUUAAUUCCAACUAUAUUAAGUUUUCUCCUAUAUACAUUCUACCUAAAUAUAUAUUUGAUGACAGUAUGACUUGUCUUAUCAUUCCUGAUCUCUAAAGAAAGAAUUCAUUAGAAUGACCUACAUCCCUUCAGAAGCUUAGAGGAGCUGGAACAUUGGAGGUAAUGCGUUGUGGAUGUGGAUUAAGGUGUAAGUGCUAGAGAGUAAAUCAUUAAGGCAAAGCGGUUAGGUAAAUAUGCGUGCUUUGAGUUUAAAUAGUGGAUUGUAAAUUAGAGGUCUUAGACCUUGUGAUUUUUUAUGCCCACAAUUAGUGUUGAUAUUUUCAACUUAAAAUUUCUUGUGUCCCUUAUUUGAUUAUUUUUCUUAUUUUGAUCUUUAAUUAUUUUGAUUAUCCCUAUUAUCUCCUAGUUUAAAUUGAGUUAAUAUUAUUUAACUCUUAUAUUAUUAUCUUUAAAAAUCACCCCACUCUCAAUGUCAUCCUCCUGGACAAAAGCACAUAUAUAAUUCACAAAUCAUGAAAAUAUAUUUAAUAUUAAAAUAUCAUUCCAUGUAAUUUGGAUGUAUUCAAAGAUGUAAAAGAAAUGAUAAUAUAUGUAUAAUUAUUUUUUAUUUAAAAAUGUUAAUAAUUACAUUUGCAACUUUAUUUUGUCCUCUUUAUUUAAUUAAUAUACAAAAAAAUAUGAAAAUAGACUUAUCAAAAGAAUUGUCAUAAUAAAGCUUUAUAUUAUUAAUAAUAAGUUAAAUUAAGGUGAUGUUUAUUUUUUUACUUAAAUCUAAAUGAAAAUUAAUUUAAGUUAAUUGUAAAUAUAACUUAAUAGAAUUAAUUAUUAUAUUGUUUGUUUUUAAUUAUUUUAUUUUUGUUAAGCAUUAAAUAUUAAUUAGGCGAGAGUCCUACUAAGGUUGUGCUUUGAUUGAUUCAAAAAAUUAUUUUGAGUAUUGAGAAAAAAGUUAAAUAUUUUACUUUUAUCUAUUCAUAAAAAAACAACUUAAAAAUUAAUUUUUUGUUAGAAAAUAUGAGAAUUUAUCGAAUUAUGGGAACUUGUGGAUGAUCAUCCAUAUUGAUGUAUAUCUCUUUGUAACUCCCUAUAAAAGGGAGAUACCUCUAAUGAAAAUCUAUUCUAUUCUCUUUCUACAUUUUAAUUUCUCUUUCUUGUUUUCUUCUCCUUUCACUUUAUAAUUUUACAACACGUUAUCAGCAAAAAUAGUCUCUACAAAAUAAAUAAAAAGAUUUUUCUCUAUUCAGAUAAAUAGAAAUACGUUCUUCCCUUCAGAGAAAUAGAAAGACUCUUCCCUAUUCUUUCUCACAAAAAGGUAUGUGAUAAACUUAUAUUAUGAUUUUCUAUUUUAUUACCCUUUGAUCUCUAUUUUCAUUUAUUUUAUUUGAAUACAUAAAUAUGUAUAAUCCCCAUAACCAGAAGUUAUGGGGUAAAUUAUAAAUUGUGGGGUAAAUUCAUAACUAGAAGUUAUGAAAAAUAUGUGCAAUUCCUAUAACCAGAAGUUAUGGGGUAAAUUAUAAAUUGUGGGGUAAAUUCAUAACUAGAAGUUAUGAAAAAUAUGUGCAAUUCCUAUAACUAGAAGUUAUGGGGAAAAAUUACAGAAUUAUAGAUACAUGACCAGAAGUUAUGUAUAUGAUACCUAAUUAUUUAUUUUUAAUUAUACGGUAUAACUGGAUGUUAUACCAAACAAUAUUAUAUAGCAAGAAGGUAUAAAAUAAAUAAAUAAAUAAAUGUUCAUAGCUUGAAGCUAUGUACAAAUUUACAUAAUAAAAGUUCAACCCAAAGUUAUACACAAAUUUACAUAAAAUAAUUCAUAACUUGAAGUUAUAUAUUACGUUGCACAUUUUUAUUAUGAUAAAAUAAUCAUAGCCUGAAGCUAUGAAAAAGAAACAUAUAUAUAUAUAUAUAUAUAUAUAUAUAUAUAUUAAAUUCAUAUUUAUACAUUUUUACCAUAUUUAUAAUUGAUAAAUUUUAGGUCAUUAUAUUUUUAGAUAUUGUUUACUUGAAAUAUUGUUAAAGCAUUUUAUUAAUAGUUUAUUAUAAUAAUUGAAAUAUUUCUCUGAUUAAUAUUAUAUAUAGCUUUCAGAUAAUGUCAAACCUUGCAAAGCUUGAAUUUGUUGUCCUCGAUAUUUUGGACAAGAACUACUUAUCUUGGGUUCUAGAUGUUGAAAUUCAUCUAGAUGUGAAGAAUCUUGGAAAUACCAUUAAAGAAGGAAAUGAUGCAUCCCUGUAGGAUCGCGCCAGAGCUUUGAUAUUCCUUCGCCAUCACAUUGAUGAAGAAUUAAAAGGUGAACACCUUACGUUAAAGAUCCUUUCAUCAUUUGGAAUAAUCUAAGGGAACGAUAUGACCACCAAAAGACCGUAAUCCUUCCAAAGGCACGCUAUGAUUGGAUGCACUUGAGAUUACAAUAUUUCAAGUCUGUUAGUGAAUACAACUCUACCCUAUUCAAAGUUAGCUCACAAUUAAAAUUGUGUGGAGAAAAGGUCACUGAAGAAGAUAUGCUCGAAAAAAAAUUCACGAAUUUUCAUGCCUCGAAUGUGCUCUUACAACAGCAAUAUCGAGAGCGCCGAUUCACUAAAUAUUCAGAAUUGAUCUCAUGUAUUCUUGUGGUUAAACAAAAUAAUGAGCUAUUAUUGAAAAACCAUUAAUCUCGUCCUACCGGGUUUAUGUCAUUGCCUGAAGCCAAUGCCACAUCUGUUCAAACCCUUGGACAUGGACAAAGACAUGGAUAUGGACGAGGUCGAGGACGUAGUCGCGGUCGAGGUUGUGGUAAACACAAUUCUUCUCAUCGUAGUGGUUCUCAAAGUAAAAAAGAACAACUCAAACGACCUGAAAUGAAAUAAUUCAGAGGCACAACCUGAAAAGGGGAUAGAACCACAAAGUAAACAUGCUCGUGAGAAUAAGUGUCAUAGAUGUGGCAUGAAAGAACAUUGGUCACAUACUUGUUGUACUCCAAAACAUUUUGUUGACCAUUAUCAAGCCUCAAUAAAAGCAAAAGGAAAAGAAGUUGAAAUGAACUUCAUUGAUAGUGAUGGCCUAGUAGAUCUAACCCAUUUAGAUGUUUCAGAUUUCUUUGAGAAUCCUAAUGGGAAAAUUGAUCAUCUAAUUGGUGAUAGAAAUGUUUGUUAUGAUUAAAUGUUAUAUUCUUAUUUAGUUCUUUACAAAUAGGUUUAUUUUGUUAUCAUCUUUAAACACAUUUUUAUUAUUCAUCUUUUAUAGUUUAGUUCACAUUUUAUUAUUUCUUAUUUAAAUUCUUCUCUUUAUUUAUACUUGAAGAUACAUGGAUCUUUCUCAUACCGUGGUACAUCAUACGACAUCCAAUGUAGAUGCAUAUCUUGCAGAUUAUGCCACAACACACACAAUCCUUAGUGAUAAAAAAUAUUUUUCCAACAUAUCGUUGGUUAAGUCUAAUGUUAAUACAAUAUUAGGUCCUAUAGACUUGAUUCAAAGCUCCAAAAGAGCAUCUAUUAUUUUACCUAAAGGAACUAAAAUCCACAUUAAUAAUGCCCUUUAUUAUGCUAAAUCCAAAUGAAAUCUUCUUAGUUUCAAGGAUAUUCGUCGAAAUGGAUAUCACAUUGAAACUAUGAAUGAUGAUAGUAAUGAAUACCUUCUCAUUACUUCAAUUAUUUUUGGGGAAAAACACAUCUUGGAAAAGCUUCCUUCUUAUUCUUGUGGGUUAUAUCGAACAAUCAUUAGAUCCACUGAGUCAUAUGUUGUCAUGAACCAAAAGUUUUGUGACUUAAAAACUUUUAUGAUAUGACAUGAACAUCUUGGUCAUCCAGGAUUAUCCAUGAUGUGUCUUAUCAUCAACAAUUCUUUAGGUCAUCCCUUGAAGAACCAGAAGAUUCUGAUGCCCAAUAAUUACAAUUGUGUUGCUUGCUCACAAGACAAAUUAAUUAUUAAACCAUCAUUUACCAAGGUUGAAUAUGAAUCACCAACCUUUCUAAAACGUAUUCAAGGUGAUAUUUGUGGACCUAUCCAUCCACCUAGUGGACCUUUUCGUUAUUUUAUGGUUUUAAUUGAUGCAUCAACUCGUUGGUCUCAUGUUUGUCUUCUUUCAACUAAAAAUAUUGUCUUUGCCAGGUUACUUGCUCAAAUAAUUCGACUCAAGGCACAAUUCCUUGAUCAUCCUAUUAAGACAAUUCGUCUUGAUAAUGCUGGUGAAUUCUCCUCUCAAACAUCUCUUGAUUAUUGUAUGUCGGUUGGUAUUGAUGUUGAAUAUCCUGUUGCUCAUACCCAUACUUAGAAUGGAUUAGCUGAAUCUCUAAUUAAGCGUUUGCAACUAAUUACAAAACCAUUACUCUUGAGAACAAAAUUGCCCUUGUUUGCUUGGGGGCUUGCUGAUUCGUGCCCAAUUGGUGUCUCAGCUGAUUUGUGUUCAGCUGGUGCUCCUUGAUUGAGGGAGUAAUCAACAAAAUUUAUUACCUAUAACACCAUACACUAGGGUAGCAAAGAAAAAGCUACUAUAGUAUAGUGGCUCUAGGGUCGUUCACUGGGAAUGAUUAACAAGCAAUCAAUGAUACCAAUUCCAAGUGAAUUGGUCUUGUUUCAUUUCAAGGUUAGAUUAAGAAGUAAAACACAAACUUUGAUUGGUAAAGGUUUAGACUUAAAAUAACUAACAUAACAGAAGUUUGGAAUAAUUUAGGAAGAAAACAUUCCUUGGAGAGUUAGGUUCACUAGGGUGGUACCUCAUGCAAAAGACACGGCUCUGGUCAGAUGGUUCAUUUCCUUGUGUUAGAGAUUCAACAUAUAGUCAAUUCUCUAACCGGUGUUGUACAGAGACUCCUUCAAUUAGAUUUCACUUUAAUUCUCUCAUUGAUGCAACUUGCAAUGGUUUAAGCCUCUCACUAAGCCUUAACCAUUCAAGGUGAUCUUUAACCUUGGAUUACCCGUCAAAAGCUCGCAAGAGAUAACUAAUGGAUGUCUCCUAGGAGUCCAAAAGCUUAUCAAGUGUUGGCUAUUCUAGAAAAUCCUACCUUGAAAUCACCUACCAGAGGCUCGCAAGGGGUAAACUAGUGCAUUUCCAUGGUUGGAAAUCACUUGCCUUACCAAGUGUUAGCCCAGGUGACUCUAAGGUGUUUUAAGUUAACUAAAAACAUAGAAAUCACUAAAGGAUUUCACUUGCUCUUCAUUAAUAGCUAAAACCACAGAGCUUUGCAUUCUUGCACUUGGAACCUUCCCCGGCAACCUUAGCUCCAAGGAAUUAGAGAUUUAGUUACUCAUUCUCUGGGGAAAACUCCUCAGAGAAUUCAUAACUUAGUAAGAAAUUGAAAAUACAAAGUGAGAAGGUAAGACAGUAGAAAGAAAAUAGACUUUACUUGCUUACCCAAACGUUUACAGAAGGCACUCCUCUCUGAGAACAGGCUCCCGAGAGGUAUAUAUAUGAACAUAAUAUAAAACUAAUUAUUACAUAGAUAUUUAGUCUUUUUACUAACUUAAAAACUAAGGAAUCAUGUAAUUGGUGGUUUACAAGGAGUAUUUUGGGAUUUAGACAACAAAAAUCUAAUAGAAAAUAUCUCCCAAUGUUGGUAGCAAAUAUCGGGAGGCUUCAGGAACCAUUUCGCAGGAGAAAAAUGGUGUCUGCGAAAUUUCGCAGACACUCAAGAGGGCUGCGAAAUUAUUUCGCAACACCAAGCUAUCUUCACAGGGCUGCGAAAUUGGCUUCCACCUUGAGGUUCCCAGCUCCCUUCUCGCGGCAUGGUUCGCGCAUCGUCAGAAGGAGAAACACCUUACUGUACAAAAAUGCUGCGAAAUCACUUCGCAACAAAAGGGUGAUUUCGCAACACUUUGCAAAAUGCUUCCUUCAGCUCGGAGUGAUUGGCUUGUAAUGGCUACAACUUCUUCGUUUCAACUCCGAAUUGCACACCGUUUGAAGCAUUGGAUUGUUGACUUCCUGAGCUUUGAAAUGGUAUAUAGAAUACAUCAUUUGGACUUCAGAAAGUGCUCCAAAAGUGGCUGCUACGACUGUCAUCAAGAAUAGGCUUCAUGGCAGAUUCUCUUUGCUUUUUCUCCUUGCAAUCCGGAUUCACUCUUGGCAAAUGACUUCUAAGCUUUGCCCAAGAUUCCUCAUAGCUCUCCUCAGUCUUGACUUGCUUUGGUGAUCAAAAUACUAACAAAAACACCAAAACUUGCACAAAGUGAUCAAAAUUGCUUUAAAGGAUCCUUAACAUGCCAAUUGAGUUAAAAGGCCUAAACUACUACUCAAAAGUGUUUAAAAGGAUUAAUUAUAGGCUAUCAAAUAGCACUUUUUGAGUAGUAAUCACUCCCCCCAACAGACAUAUUGCUAGUCCCUUAGCAAUAUAGGAGAGAAAAAAAAAAUGAAUAGCUAAUUAUACUAAAAUUUACAACAUCAUGCUGAUAGAAAAUAAUUCUCAAAUGGCAUGAUGAUCUAAUUCUCACAUGAAGCAUUAAAGAAAUACAAACCCAAAUCUCAACAAGAGUCAUAACACCUAUGCUAAACACUGUCAAUCAAGAGAGUGCAUUAUGCAAACUGAAGUUUUAAAACCAUUUCCACUUUCUAAGAACCAAACUUUAAUCUUCCACAAAAAUCUAUGUGUAUUGGUUCCUUAGCUUCCGAGAAUAAUAUGCUAAACUAGUCUCACCCCCCAACCUAUCUCUUUUCAACACUUUAGCAAACUGACCAAAAUCAAUAAGAAAAGAAAACACCUUUUUUUUUUUUUUUCAAGGUAGCUUUAUGGGGUACUCUUUCUGACUUGUCCAUGUAAUGGGGGUCCAUCGAUGACUCCCAACCAAUUAAGGUUUAGGGCACCAAGCUUUAAGGAUCUUUCAACCACUAACUCCUCGGAUUUUUCCCCGGACUUUUAAGAAUGAAUUUCUAAUACCCAAGCAUCUACCAUAUGCUAACUCUACCUAUUCACCCUUGUAACGAGCAUUGAGGUCGGUGACUCCCAACCAAUUAAGGCUUAGGGCACCAGGCUUUAAAGAUUUUCACCAUAUACCCCUCAGACCUUGCUCGGGUUUCAAGGCAAGCAAACAACUUUCUUUAUUUUAAAGGCUCAUUGGCCUUUUGCAGGGUGUUUCAAUUUUUAUCAAGUGAGGUCAAAUAUACCAAGUCCCAAAAUUAUCCUAAGUCAAGAGGGAAAUAGCUUUUCAUCUUAUAAUCGGAAUCUAAUGUGCACAGUGUGUGAAUAGCUUAAAGUGGAAGAACUAAAUUCAAUUUCAAUAGAAGUUUCAACAAUUGAACCACUUUAGUAAGCAUAAUCCAUACUCUAAGUCAAGUGAAAAACAACAGUUCAAUUUCUCUUGGUUUAAUUUGAAAAUUUUUCCUCAAAAUUCAUGGAGAAUAGAGUAACACUAGUAAAAAGUAAAAUCUACAACUAAUUAACCAAUAUAAUUGCAAUACCAAAAAGAUUUAGAAAACUUCCUUCCUCAUACCCCCCAACCGAACUGAGCAUUGUCCUCAAUGUGAUUUGAAUGAUUGUAAUAAAAGGGAGGAAGUGGUACCUCCUUGCUGAUAUCAAAUUCGAAUAUUGAUUGGGGAAAACCACAUGUUUCAAAAAGAAUAGAAUAUGUGAGAAAAAGAAAUAAGAAUAACUUAAUGCUAACUUUUAACAAGAAAUAUUCAACUUGUAUUACUUUGAGUUCAUUUGAUUACAAUGCUAAAGACAAGUAACACAAGGAAUCCCAUAUAUAGUACCAAAAUACUGGGACUUCAUUUCAACUAAAAAAAACAAAAAUGCAUAAAAACAUAAACAAAAAAUAUAUAUAAUGUCUGAUUAGUGGGGUGGUGGUGCUAGACAGAAGGAUCUGCCUCUUCAGUAGGUGGAUCAGCUGGGGCUUCGGGCUCUGGAGGAUGAGACUCUGAAGGCUGAGAGUGUGGCUCUGGUGGAGUAGAAAUGGAGGGCUCUACAGCUUGUGGCAGAUCGAAAUGGACUUGAAGCUGCCUUAAGAUGGCAGCUUGUUGAGCCUGAGAGGCUAACAUCUGCUCUUGGCAUGCUUUGAUGGCUGCCAUCUCCUGAGCAAGAUUGCUCUGAGAAGCUGUAAGAGUCUCCAAUGCACGACACAACUCUCAAUAUUCAGAUAUAGGAAUGACCAUCCUCGGCUCAGCUGAUGUGGAUGGCUGAGAUGAAGCAGGUGCAGCUGGUGGAGCUCUAGGAAUGGCAGGAGCAGCAACUGUUAUACCCUCAGGUAUAUGUCUUGGGGAGGCUCUCCUUGCAGCUGGCUGAGGCUGCCCAGGCUGAUCAACUUUGUAGGCCGUCAUAUUGUUCCAUUUAUCAAGAGUGAAUGGCUCACGGCAUAUUCGCUUUCUCUCCAGCUGAGGCUCUGAGGGGUAUCCCAGAUGCUCCAAAAUUUGGCAUAGCAGCCUUGGGAAGAGGAGGGGAAUACAAUCUGCUCUCUGAAGCUUCUUCUUGUGAACCUUCUCUUCAAAAUAGAGAAGGGCUGCCAUGAUCAGAUGAUGAGGCCCAAAGAAAAAUCCUUCUGACAUCUUGUAAAGAGCUUCCAGGAGAACUCCCCUUCUUUGGGUCCAAUGCUGCAAUGGAUAUAUAUUAUGGCGCAAAAAGGCAUCAAUCAAAAACAUAACUGGAGGAAGCUCCCCCCUCAGCAGAUGUGAUCGAUUUGCAGCUCCUCUGGAAAGGGUGCGAACCAUCUCUAGCUCAGUAGGAUUUGCCCACAAUGAAUCAUGAAGCCUAAUAGACCAAUCUUUUCUGUUGGAAUUCACCACUUUCAUCAAGAUGUUCUUUAUUUCCCUAUUAGCUAGCUCAACUUGCCCGGAAGUCUGAGGAUGAUAAGGUGUGGCCACCUUAUGCUUCACUCCAUACUUGGAUAACAGAGCUUCAAAAGGUUUGUUGCAAAAAUGAGCACCUUCAUCACUGAUUAUGGCUUUGGGCACCCCAAAUCUUGAGAAAAUGUUCUCUUUAAGAAACUUGAGAACCACCCUGUGAUCAUUUUGCUUACAGGGGAUUGCCUCAACCCAUUUAGAAACAUAAUCUACCCCCACCAAGAUGUAAGAAUUACCAAAAGACAUUGGGAAAGGUCCCAUGAAGUCAAUGCCCCAUACAUCAAAUAACUCAACUAUCAGAAUGUGGUUCAUAGGCAUUUGAUUUCUUUUUGUUAGCUUUCCAAGCCUUUGGCAUCUAUUACAAUUCCUACACAUGAUGUGGGCAUCUUUGAAAAGAGAUGGCCAAGUAAACCCUGAUUGCAAUACCUUCAUGGCUGUUUUCUGAGAGGCAAAGUGGCCUCCACAUGCAUUCUCAUGACAAUGAGAUAGAAUCCCUUGCUGCUCAUCUUCAGGGACACACUUCCUAAUAAUCUGAUCUGCACAAUACUUAAAGAGAAAGGGCUCUUCCCAAUAAUAAGCAUGAAUUUUGGCAAAGAAGUGCUUCCUGUCCUGUGCAUUCCACUCACUUGGAAUUUCACCAGUUACUAAAUAAUUAGCAAUAUGAGCAUACCAAGGAGUUUUCACUAGGAACAUGAGUGAUUCUUCAGGAAAAUCAUCAUUGAUAGGCAAGGGAUGGGAAUUAUGUGCUAUAACUAACCUUGACAAGUGGUCAACUACUACAUUCUCCACUCCUUUCUUAUCUUUGAUUUGAAGAUCGAAUUCUUGUAACAAAAGGAUCCAUCUAAUCAACCUUGCUUUUGCAUCUUGCUUUGUCAAUAAAUACUUCAAGGCUGAAUGGUCAGUAAAGACAAUAAUGAAAGACCCCACUAAAUAAGCUCGAAAUUUGUCCAAAGCAAAUACCACAACUAAUAAUUCUUUCUCUGUAGUUGUGUAGUUCCUCUGAGCUUCAUUUAGUGUUUUACUUGCAUAGUAAAUCACAUAGGGCUUCCCAUCUUCUCUUUGGCCAAGCACAGCUCCUAUAGCAAAGUCACUGGCAUCACACAUCAGUUCAAAAGGUAAUUGCCAGUUAGGGGCUCUCACUAUUGGAGUUGUUGUUAAAAAUUUCUUCAGUUGAUCAAAGCUAUUCUGACACCUUUCAUCCCAUAUAAACUUAGCAUCCUUAGCUAACAGCUCACAAAGAGGUUUUGAAAGACUUGAAAAACCUUUUAUAAACCUCCUAUAGAACCCUACAUGGCCAAGGAACUGCCUUACUCCUUUCACAAUUGUUGGAGAUGGUAAUUUGACAAUAAGCUCCACCUUUGCUUUAUCAACUUCAGUGCCUUUUUCAGAGAUGAUAUGGCCAAGGACAAUUCCUUGACGUACCAUAAAAUGGCAUUUCUCCCAGUUCAGCACCAGAUCUUUUUCAAUGCAUCUAUGAAGAACUGCUUCCAAAUUAACCAAGCAUUCCUCAAAUGUACCUCCAUACACGGUGAUGUCAUCCAUGAAAACCUCCAUAAUUCUAUCCACCAUAUCACUGAAAAUACUCAACAUACAUCUUUGAAAUGUAGCAGGUGCAUUGCAUAAACCAAAAGGCAUUCUUCUAUAAGCAUAUGUUCCAAAUGGACAUGUAAAAGUGGUCUUUUCUUGAUCUGCCAAGUCAAUUUCGAUCUGAAAAUACCCUGAAUACCCAUCCAAGAAACAAUAGAAUGGAUGUCCAGAGACUCUCUCCAGCACUUGAUCAAUAAAUGGCAAUGGAAAAUGAUCUUUCCUGGUGACAGCAUUCAGCUUUCUAUAAUCAAUACACACCCUCCAUCCUGAAGUGAGGCGUGUAGUAAUUUCUUCCCCUUUUUCAUUUUUAACCACUGUGAUCCCUGACUUCUUUGGUACCACUUGAGUAGGACUCACCCAAGGGCUAUCAGAAAUAGGGUAGAUGAUUCCUGCUUGAAGUAGCUUCAGCACCUCAGCUCGCACCACCUCUUGUAGAUGAGGAUUCAACAUUCUUUGAAAUUGACGAAUUGGCUUUGCUUCCUCCUCCAUAUAUAUAUGAUGAGUACAAACUAAAGGACUAAUGCCUUUCAAGUCAGAUAUUUGCCAUCCUAUUGCCUUCUUACACCUCCUAAGAACUUCCAUUAAACAAUUCUCUUGAUGACUGGUCAGAGAUGAAGAUAUUACAACAGGACAUUGAUUAUUUUCUUCAAGGUAUGUGUAUUUCAGCUCCACAGGUAAAGGCUUCAGAUUGAGUUUUGGAAUUUCUUUUUCAACAGCUGCCUCCUCUUCCUUAUUGAACAAAGGUAGAAUUCCUUCUAUCUUUCUCCAACUUUGUAAAGUAGCAAGCCCAAUAGGAGAUUCAGAAAAACCUUCCUCAAUAUCCUCAAGACUUUCAUUCGACUUGUCUUGCAUAUGUUGAUUGCAGUGCUCCUCCACCAAAGUAUCGAUUAUACAUAGCUCUUCUGGACCUUCUUCUUCCUCCGGAGUGAUUUGCUUUUUAGAAAUGUAGAAAAUAUUGAGAUCCAGUGUCAUGUUACCAAAAGUGAGUUGCAUAAGCCCAUUUCUACAGUUGAUGAUUGCAUUUGAAGUUGCAAGAAAUGGCCUUCCAAGGAUGAUAGGAACUAAAUUAGCUUCCUUUACAGUAGGAUCUGUAUCAAGAACAAUAAAAUCUACUGGAUAGUAGAAAUUAUCCACUUGAACCAAUACAUCCUCAAUUACCCCUCUUGGAAUUUUCACUGAUCUAUCUGCCAGAGAUAGAGUGAUUGUUGUUGGCUUCAACUCUCCAAGGCCCAAUUGCUUGUAGACAGAGUAUGGAAGCAAAUUCACACUUGCUCCCAAAUCUAGCAAGGCUUUCUCCACUACCUUUCCUCCAAUCAUGACUGAAAUGGUAGGACUUCCAGGGUCUUUGUACUUCAAAGGAGACUUACAUUGUAAGAUUGCACUUACUUGCUCAGUCAAGAAGGCUUUCUUGUUUACAGUCAACCCUCUCUUGAUAGUACAUAAGUCCUUUAGGAAUUUUGCAUACGUUGGAACUUGUUUGAUCAUAUCCAGCAGUGGAAUAUUAACUUUCACUUGUCUCAAUACUUCAAGGAUUUCAGCUGCAUAUCUAAUCCNNNNNNNNNNNNNNNNNNNNNNNNNNNNNNNNNNNNNNNNNNNNNNNNNNNNNNNNNNNNNNNNNNNNNNNNNNNNNNNNNNNNNNNNNNNNNNNNNNNNUCUCCUCCACACAUUGUCUCGAGGAGUUGCUUCAUUGAGGAUGACAUACCAUCAUAAAAAUAGCUCACCAAUAGCUAAGUAUCAAAGCCAUGGUGAGGACAAGCAUUUAUAGCUUCCAUGUAUCUUUCCCAACACUCAUAGAAUUUCUCAUUCUCUUUAGCUGAGAAGUUUGAAAUUUGCCUUUUCAAGCCAUUUGUUCUAUGAGUAGGAAAAAAUUUCUUGAGGAAUUCAGCUUGUAAAUCAGUCCAAGAGCGGAUACUCCUUGGCCUUAAAGAAUUAAGCCAAAUUUUGGCCUUAUCCUUUAAAGUAAAAGGAAAUAAUUUAAGCUUCAUCAAAUCAAUUGAAGCUCCUCCCUCUUGGAAUGUAUUACAAACAUCUUCAAAUUCCUUGAUGUGUGCAUACAGAUUCUCACUUUCCAUCCCAUGGAAAGUUGGUAGAAGUGGAACAAGAUACGGUCUGAUCACUAUCUGCUCUGUAGGGGGCACUAUACAUGAUGGUGCACUCAUACGAGGUGGAUGCAUACGGUCCCUCAUUGAUCUGAAUUCAUUGAGAUUAUCUUGACGACCUUGGUGACUAUGCUGAUCUUCAGGUGUAGCUUCCAUGAUAUUCAAGAUUACUUCAAAUUCUCCCCUCUGAGGUGUAUCACACUUAACAAGCCUUCCUCCACUGUCUCGUAUCCACUUUGGCAUACACAACUAGUAUCUAUCUGCAACUUAAAUAAAAAUAAAGGACAACAAAAGAAACAGGGCUCCUACAACAAAAUUAAACUAAACUAAAUUUUAAAAGAUAAACUUAGAUUAUGAAUAAACAAAGAAAGAAUGAAAAUUAGUAAAGUGAAAGAAACUUUACCAACUUGUGAUGAAAAUCACAAGUGCUCAACAAUGGUAUCACUAUAAACUUGACACUGAUCAUUCCCUAGCAAUGGCGCCAUUUGAUUCGUGCCCAAUUGGUGUCUCAGCUGAUUUGUGUUCAGCUGGUGCUCCUUGAUUGAGGGAGUAAUCAACAAAAUUUAUUACCUAUAACACCAUACACUAGGGUAGCAAAGAAAAAGCUACUAUAGUAUAGUGGCUCUAGGGUCGUUCACUGGGAAUGAUUAACAAGCAAUCAAUGAUACCAAUUCCAAGUGAAUUGGUCUUGUUUCAUUUCAAGGUUAGAUUAAGAAGUAAAACACAAACUUUGAUUGGUAAAGGUUUAGACUUAAACUAACUAACAUAACAGAAGUUUGGAAUAAUUUAGGAAGAAAACAUUCCUUGGAGAGUUAGGUUCACUAGGGUGGUACCUCAUGCAAAAGACACGGCUCUGGUCAGAUGGUUCAUUUCCUUGUGUUAGAGAUUCAACAUAUAGUCAAUUCUCUAACCGGUGUUGUACAGAGACUCCUUCAAUUAGAUUUCACUUUAAUUCUCUCACUGAUGCAACUUGCAAUGGUUUAAGCCUCUCACUAAGCCUUAACCAUUCAAGGUGAUCUUUAACCUUGGAUUACCCGUCAAAAGCUCGCAAGAGAUAACUAAUGGAUGUCUCCUAGGAGUCCAAAAGCUUAUCAAGUGUUGGCUAUUCUAGAAAAUCCUACCUUGAAAUCACCUACCAGAGGCUCGCAAGGGGUAAACUAGUGCAUUUCCAGGGUUGGAAAUCACUUGCCUUACCAAGUGUUGGCCCAGGUGACUCUAAGGUGUUUUAAGUUAACUAAAAACAUAGAAAUCACUAAAGGAUUUCACUUGCUCUUCAUUAAUAGCUAAAACCACAGAGCUUUGCAUUCUUGCACUUGGAACCUUCCCCGGCAACCUUAGCUCCAAGGAAUUAGAGAUUUAGUUACUCAUUCUCUGGGGAAAACUCCUCAGAGAAUUCAUAACUUAGUAAGAAAUUGAAAAUACAAAGUGAGAAGGUAAGACAGUAGAAAGAAAAUAGACUUUACUUGCUUACCCAAACGUUUACAGAAGGCACUCCUCUCUGAGAACAGGCUCCCGAGAGGUAUAUAUAUGAACAUAAUAUAAAACUAAUUAUUACAUAGAUAUUUAGUCUUUUUACUAACUUAAAAACUAAGGAAUCAUGUAAUUGGUGGUUUACAAGGAGUAUUUUGGGAUUUAGACAACAAAAAUCUAAUAGAAAAUAUCUCCCAAUGUUGGUAGCAAAUAUCGGGAGGCUUCAGGAACCAUUUCGCAGGAGAAAAAUGGUGUCUGCGAAAUUUCGCAGACACUCAAGAGGGCUGCGAAAUUAUUUCGCAACACCAAGCUAUCUUCACAGGGCUGCGAAGUUGGCUUCCACCUUGAGGUUCCCAGCUCCCUUCUCGCGGCAUGGUUCGUGCAUCGUCAGAAGGAGAAACACCUUACUGUACAAAAAUGCUGCGAAAUCACUUCGCAACAAAAGGGUGAUUUCGCAACACUUUGCAAAAUGCUUCCUUCAGCUCAGAGUGAUUGGCUUGUAAUGAUUGCAACUUCUUCGUUUCAACUCCGAAUUGCACACCAUUUGAAGCAUUGGAUUGUUGACUUCCUGAGCUUUGAAAUGGUAUAUAGCAUGCAUCAUUUGGACUUCAGAAAGUGCUCCAAAAGUGGCUGCUACGACUGUCAUCAAGAAUAGGCUUCAUGGCAGAUUCUCUUUGCUUUUUCUCCUUGCAAUCCGAAUUCACUCUUGGCAAAUGACUUCUAAGCUUUGCCCAAGAUUCCUCAUAGCUCUCCUUAGUCUUGACUUGCUUUGGUGAUCAAAAUACUAACAAAAACACCAAAACUUGCACAAAGUGAUCAAAAUUGCUUUAAAGGAUCCUUAACAUGCCAAUUGAGUUAAAAGGCCUAAACUACUACUCAAAAGUGUUUAAAAGGAUUAAUUAUAGGCUAUCAAAUAGCACUUUUUGAGUAGUAAUCACUUGCUAUUCUUCAUGCUGCCACUUUAAUUCGAAUUUGCCCUACAACUAAUCUUGAUUGCUCACCUUUACAACUUGCUUUAGGCUCCCAACCAAACGUUUCACAUUUUCAUAUUUUUGGUUGUGUUGUCUAUUUCCCAUAGCUCUACCUCAACGUUCCAAGUUAGGACCUCAACAUCGACUUGGUAUAUAUGUUGAUUUUAAUUCUCCCUUUAUUAUCCGUUAUCUUCUCUUUUCACUUUAUAAUUUUACAACAUUUUUUGUUUUAAUCAAAAUAGUGAAUGGAGUUUGAGCCGAAUUUUAAUUAUUUGGUAAAAUAAUAAAAUUAAUUUUUAUUUAAAAGAAAAAAUAAAGUUAAGUCAAAGAUAUAAAGAUAAUUAUUUUAUUUUAAAUAUAAAAAAAAAAAGAUAAAUGAGCUACAAAUUUUAGGAUUAAUUGAUUAAAAGGGAUGAAAAGAUCCCAAAUUUGUAAACUAACCUCUUCCAUUUUUUAACUUGAAGAGUAACACAUGUUUGACAUAAAUACCCUUCAACAUUUUCAUUAUUUAUAUGUGCCUUUUAAAAGAAAAUGUUACUUUUGUAAGAAAAAAGUGAGAGUAUUCUUAUCCAAAAUGGGUAUUUUUUGGAUGAAAAAAAAUGGUUUGCAAUUUGAUAUUUCUUUCGCCCUUUUUAAUCGGUUAUCCCCAAAUUUUAUUACGGCAAAUACAAAUUCUAAAAAUAUUUGGUUUUAUUGCUAUUUUUAAAUUUAAAUAUAUUUUUACCUUAAUUUUAUUUUUAUUUCAAAAUAAUUGAUGAUGAUUUAGUUGGAUUCUAAUAUUUAAUGGAGUUUUAGUUGAAUUCUAACACUAUAAUAUAAAGUGACUCGAUAAAAUUAUAAAAUCAUUUUUAUUUAAAAAUAAAAUAAAUAAAGUUGAGUUAAAAAUAGUAUUAAAUAAAUUAAAUUUUAAAAAUAAAAAUUAAUAGUUUUAUCUUAAAUAAAAAAUAUUAAAAGAAAAAAAAUUAGAUAGAUAGGCUUUAAAUUUUAUUAAGAGAAACAUAAAUUUUUUUUAAAAAAAUUGUUUUUAUUUAUUUUCAAUUUUAAAAUUUUAUUUCUAUUUUUUAUUUAAAUCUAUUUUCAAAUUUUAUUUUAAUUUUAUCUAAAAAUAGUUAAUAGAGUUUUGGUUGAAUUUUAAGACUAAAAUAAGCGAAUAGAUAAAUUAUAAAAUGAAAUUUUUUUAUUAAAAUGAAAAGAAAGUUAAGUUAAAGAUACUAUAAAUUAUGAUUAGAAGAAUGAAAAUCAAUAAAUAAAAAAAUAGUGGUUUUAUCUUAAAUUAGAAAUAUUUAAAAAAAGAAGAUAAAUGAAUAAUAUAUUGAAAAAUAUGACUUUGUGGUAGAAGAGCAAUGACUAUGCUCUUUGGAAUACCAUAGUUUAUGUUCAUUUUUUUAAAUUUAAAAAGAAUAAACAUCUUUUAGAUAUUAACAAAAAUAAAUUUAAAAUCUUAAAAACAUUUGUUGUUGGCCAAAUAAUCCAACUAUGAGCCCUUUUAUGACAAGUGAACCUUCCAAAUCUUCUGAAGAAUUUUUUAUCUUAGUAUUAAAAUCUAAAAGCAGAAUAUAUAUACUAUGAGUUACCUUUUUAACAACUUAUUUAUUUUAUUUAAUGUAAUAAUAUACAUUAAUAUAAAUUAUAGUUGACUUGAGUUUUUUUUUUUUAAUUUGGCAUAUGCUUGUAUUACUUUGUUAGCUUGGAGGACAAAAAACCUAUACAAAUAAUUAGACGUGAAUUGUAUGUAUCAAUGAAAUUGUAAUUUUUAGAUUGCAAAAAUGAGUACAUACGUUAAUAUAUAUGAAAAUAUAUAGUGAUUAUGACAUUUGAUAACCUAUUUAUUUUGAAUGAUGGGAAUUAAACUUCGUAAAAUUUUAAGAUAGAUUGGAAGUAAAUUUUUUUGUUACUUAAAAUGUGUACAAAUUCUUCCUUGUAGUUAUGUUAUGUGUAAUAGAACUUCCAUGCACAAUCGUUUUCAUGAUUAGGAAUUGAAUUAGAGAAAUUAAAUUUUGUUGAAGAUUUUUUCAACUUUGAAAAAAUUGCAUGUGGAGGAGUUGCAUUGGCAAGGAAAUCUACACACUCAUUGAAGAGUCUAUGCCCACUUUUCCAAUCAGCCUAGCACGUUUUUUUGAAUUGAAUAACCACGGAUUGAUAUUGAUUGGAUCCAUUAUCAGUCAUUCAAUCCCAAAGCAUUCAUUUGUCAAACUCCAUGAAAUAUAGGUUUGGCCGAGUGGACAUUUCAAUACUAAACUUGUCCAAAUACAUUAAAUUGAUAUUUUUAGUAAAUAUGAUGCGUUGUCUUUUAGAUCCAAAAUGGAUAAUAUUUACAUGUUAGAGAGUCAGUCGUUGCCUUUUAUCUCUAAUCCACCCUCUUAAAUCCCUAACCCAAUCUUGGAGUACCACAGAAAGUUUAAAGAUUAUUAGUGAUUUUAUAAAGGAUAUUGACAAAAAAGAAGAUCAUUAACCACGUACUAAUCAUGUUAUUUAGUGAAUAUUCGAUCUAUUGAAUCAAAUCAUAUCUUUUAUAACAAUAGCUUAACCCUUUUCACUCUUGUACAUAACUUCGACUCAAAUGAUUUUGAAAUUAAACGUAACAUGCUAUUAAGUGAAUAUGGUCACUCAACUCAUAAAAUUUCACAAAAAGAUUAUUUAAAUUCACAUUUUCUUACAUUUUCUUAAUAACAUUUUUUUUUCUUUUCGAUGUAAAGAAAUUGCAUAAAGUUUUUUCACUUGGAGCUACUAGACAUAUUGCAUUCUCAUGGUAAUAAUUUGGGGUUAUUUAAACAUCAUCUUCAUUUAUUAAACAGAAUCAAGAGUUUCUUUAGAAUAAUCUACAAAAUUAAUUGGUAUUGAUAGAUGGGGUUUUAACUUUUAAGAAUUAGACAAAAUUUUGUAGAAAAGUUUUCCAAAUUUUAAAAGAUUUGUAUGUGGAAGUACGAUUUGAUAUGUCUCUUCCUACACGUACGUGAAUUGCAUUGUCCUUCUAGCUAGAUAUUGAUUAAUGACCACAUAAAAAACUUAUCGGCAGGCCAAACUGAUACUCACCAUGUGCCCCAAACUGAUCCAAAUUGGUUUUCAACAAUGUACAACCACUGCAUGACUUUAUGCAUGGUAGAGAAACUUUUUAAAAUGUUCUAUCAAGAAUAAUUCUACCAUAAAUUAGGAUUUCAUGUCCAACUUUUUAUUUAUUUAUUGAAAAGAUAAAAAUUUUAAAUGAAUUCAUUUUUGAGAAGACAAUUACAAAUAAUAAAUUUCUUUUAUUAAAAAAUAAGUUUAAUGUAAAAAAUAAAUUGGCCUUUCGAAUAGACAAUUUAAUUUAAAAAUAAGAUAAUAGACAUAAAUAUGGUAUUAUUAUAUUUAUUUUUCAAAUAACUAUUUUUUAAUAAUAUUUUUUGAAAAUAAUAAAGAAAAUUCCUCCAAUGACACUGGAAGUUCCGCCCUAUAAAUACUAAGGAGCUUGCCAAGCUAUUCCGCUCAUACUUGCCAAUUCAUCAUUUAGGGUGUUCUAUCAUUGUUCCAAGGAAGUAGCAUGUCUAUUCAAGUCUCAACAUGUCCUCUUGUCCAAAUUCCUAAACCCGAACACCGCCCAAGGGCAGAGUUUCACCCUAGCAUUUGGGGUGACCAAUUCAUUGCCUACACUCCCGAAGAUGAGGUAAUUCAAUGAAAAUAUGUGUCAAGAUUAAUGGUUUAUCAAUGUGUUAAUUGGUAAAAUUUGUUGGUACAGGAUACACGUGCUUGCAAAGAGAAGCAAGUUGAAGAUCUGAAAGAGGAAGUCAGAAGGGAGUUAAUGGCUGCUGCCCGUAACCCUUCCCAAUUGUUGAACUUCAUUGAUGCAGUGCAACGGCUUGGGUUGGCAUACCACUUUGAAAGAGAGAUAGAAGAAUCAUACAACAUAUUUAUGAUAGGUUUCAUGAUGCCGAUGAUACAGAUGAUAAUCUCUAUAAUAUUGCUCUUCAAUUUCGACUACUGAGACAACAAGGGUACAAUAUUUCAUGUGGUAAGAGACCCAGGAAUAAAUUAUCAUUUCAUAGGUGAAAAAUGCAACCAUCUUAUCGUACAAAGGGUGGUAUUCAUGCAGGUAUAUUCAACAAGUUCAAGGAUGAAAAAGGUAGCUUCAAGGAGGAUUUGAUCAGCAACAUACAAGGCAUGCUGGGCUUGUAUGAAGCUGCACAUCUCAGGGUUCAUGGAGAGGACAUACUUGAAGAAGCACUUGCUUUCACCACCACUCACCUCAAGGCCACGGUAGAAAGUUUAGGAUAUCCUCUUGCAGAACAAGUUGCUCAUGCCCUGAAGCAUCCCAUUAGGAAAGGUUUGGAGAGGCUAGAGGCAAGAUGGUAUAUAUCUCUCUAUCAAGAUGAAGCUUCCCAUGAUAAAACUUUACUAAAGCUGGCAAAGUUAGAUUUCAAUCUAGUGCAGUCCCUGCACAAAGAAGAGCUAAGCAAUCUUGCACGGUUGGUUUUUAAAUCACCCUUCAUGCACUCGGUCAUUCUUACAGUUGAGUGUGCUAAUUAUAUAUAUUGAUGUAUUUUAGGUGGUGGAAAGAAUUAGACUUUGCUACAAAGCUACCUUUCGCACGGGAUAGAUUUGUGGAAGGCUAUUUUUGGAUACUUGGGGUGUACUUUGAGCCCCAAUAUUCACGCGCUAGAAGAAUUUUAACCAAAUUAUUUGCCAUGGCUUCCAUUAUAGAUGAUAUCUAUGAUGCAUAUGGCACACUUGAAGAACUCCAGCCCUUUACAGAAGCCAUUGAGAGGUUUGAUACACGGAGAUUACCCAACUUGAUUGAGUAUUAUAUGUAAAUAUACUUCUAAUCAGGGUUGGGUAUUUUAUGUUCAGGUGGGAUAUUAGCAGCAUCGAUCACCUUCCGGAGUACAUGAAACUCUUCUAUGUGACACUCUUAGAUCUGUACAAAGAAAUCGACCAAGAGUUGGAGAAAGAUGGAAACCAAUAUCGGGUUUACUAUGCAAAAGAAGUAGUAAGACACCUUUAACUCUAAAUCUCCACAUUUUGCAUUAUGAUAUUUUAAUGAGUCUCAUACACAUAUAGAUAUAGCUAAAACUUGGAUGAAUGUUCUUCAGUUGAAGAGUCAAGUUCGAUCUUACUUUGCUGAGGCGAAAUGGUCCCAUGAAGGAUACAUACCUACAAUAGAAGAGUAUAUGCUUGUUGCACUCGUGACCGCAGGUUCCUGCAUACUUGCAACCUGGUCUUUCAUUGGAAUGGGAGAAAUCAUGACAAAGGAGGCCUUUGAUUGGGUGAUCAGUG